AUCAACGUUUUUGAAAAACAGAGUGAUUUUGCUCACCUAGAUGAUUAUGACUCGCACAUGCAUUCUUUGUUGCACUUCACUUCAAAAAGCGACUAUCUUGACCCAAUAAAUUAGGAGAAAAUUUGUAAAAUGUUCAAAUUUCUCAGAGUAUUGGACUUGGGAUCUCUUGUUCUCAUCCAUUAUCUAUCCGGAAUUGAAAAUUUAUUUCUUUUGCGAUAUUUGAAGUUGAAUAUCCCUUCCCUCAAAAGCCUGCCUUCGCCAUUAUUAAGCAAUCUUCUGAACCUGUACACCCUAGACAUGCCCUUUAGCUAUAUAGAUCACACAGCAGAUGAAUUUUGGAAGAUGAACAACCUCAGGCAUCUGAAUUUUGGCUCAAUCACACUUCCUGCGCAUCCAAGAAAAUAUUGCCGCUCUCUGGAAAAUCUCAAUUUCAUUUCAGCCUUGCAUCCUUGCUGCUGUACUGAAGAUAUAUUGGGUAGACUACCUAAUCUUCGAAAUCUCCGGAUAUGGGGAGAUUUAAGUUAUUAUCAAUCUUUGUUGUCCCAAAGUCUUUGCACAUUAACCUGCCUCGAGUCAUUGAAGUUGGUGAGCGAAAGCAAGAUGCCAACGCUCUCCAAAAUUGUCCUUGUUGAAUACCAAUUUCCUCCAAGACUAACCCACUUGAGUUUCUCUAAUACUGAACUUAUGGAGGAUCCUAAAAGCCGCGCUUCUUCAAGUGCUCAAACUGAACCAAAAUUCGUAUUCAGGUAGGAAGCUGACUUGUGGCUCUGAUGGUUUUCCAAAUCUCAAGGUAUUGCACCUGAAAUCAAUGCUAUGGCUAGAGGAGUGGACUAUGGGGAUUGGAGCCAUGCCAAAACUAGAAUGUUUGAUUAUCAACCCUUGUGCUUACUUGAAAAAGAUGCCUGAACAGCCCUGGUGCAUAAAGAGCUUAAACAAAUUCAACUGCUGGUGGCCCCAGCUGGAGCUGAGACAAAAGCUACGGGAAUUCGAGGAUAAGGAGCAGUAUGGCAUUCAACUAUAUCCUUAUGGAAUUUGAUUAGCCUCGAUUGAAUUUCAUGUAAGUUUCUCUUUUUAUCCAAUUUCUUCAACUUUUAAUUAUUUAUCUAAUUUCGUAUACUUUCUCUUCAAUAUAUUUAUUUUCCUUCUCCUUUAGUUAAAUAGUUAAGCCCUCUUUAGAGUUUCUGAUAGUCACCCGAAUCAUGACGCCCUCUUUAGCCGCAGGGAGACUUCAGUACCCUUGUAUGUUCAACUAUGAGCCUAGGCGACAUUGGCAUUCAUUUGUUUUAAUAGUUAAGAUAAAAAAUGUAAUAUAAAAAAUUUUUCUUUUUCACCAAUUUCUCCUAUGACUUGUGUAGGUGAAGUCCGAGCAGAAAAUAUCAAAACUGCAGCCCGUGUUUCAGUUUCAACCAAAAUCCUUUCAGUUAGUCUUCACUUCUGCUGUCUAUACAAAUAAAUCCUGAUCCUAUGGUGGACAUUUUUCUGCUUUCUUUGUAUCUAUUGUCUACACGAUUGUUGAGUAAUGAAAAGUACUAGCUCGGCCAUGUCCUCAUCUUUCACCCUGAGGCGAAUCUCCUCAACUGAAUGACACGAGAAGAGUCUUGGUAAAACAUCUUAUACGGGCAUGUGCCAACUAGAAACGAGCAUCGACCAGAGAUAUAUACCGACCAGAUGCUCAUCACCAGAGGACACGAUCUCACGAAAUCGCGACAGUUUCGCCAUACCCCGAACCGCUGGGGAGAACAUGACAUCCCACGUUUACCCAUGAUUCGGUGGUUAGAGACCCACGAGGGUCUGUCAUCACUCGAAAAUGAGGGGCAUGAAGAAUACUCAGAAAACGUGGGACGAUAGCUAUAAAAAGCUAAGAGAUCGAUGAAGAAAGGGACACAAAAAUUGAGAGUAAAGGGGAAACUCUGCCAAAUUAUUAUCAGAAAUUCUUAUACCCAAGUCCUUGAGAUAUUUCGUAUUAAAAAUAUUACAAUUAAUCUAUACAACAGAAAUCAUACAAGUUUUCCCGUAAACACCUUGUGCUAACUUAAGCAUCGGAGGGUUUACACCGGCAAAACCACUGGCGUCUCUGAUCUGUUUAUGUGAACGCAGGGUUAGAGAGAAGAAAAAGGGUGAUUCCAACCCCAGGAGCUUGAGCAAUUGCCGAAGCAGGCAAAGGGCAGCAUCCUCUCCAUUGAUCAUACAAGCAUUGGUGGGAUGAUCUGGUCGGGCAAAGGGCGAUCAGAUUUCAGCAUCAACAACGAUAAUAAGAAAUUUCGUUUCAGAUAUUCAGUUGAGCAUUGAUUGAUUGGUGCUUCGGCCAUGGUUGGUUAAUUGUGUACAAAAAAAUAAAUAAUAUUUGUGACGCCUUUCCAGUCUUGAAUUCAGUGGAAUGUAUUUUCUGUCUUUGUUCUGUUGCUUGCUUUGAAUUCCUGUUCCAAGGCUGGGCAUGUUUGACACUCAAUAUGUUUGGUUUAUUUUGCGGAAAAGAUUGAUUAUUCACGAAUUUCAUACAUGGCUGACUCUCCUAGUAAAAAUUCUUGUGAAGAAGUACGAAGAUUCUCUUAGGCACUACAACAAGGCCUUUUUUUUUUGUGCACUAAAUUGUGUACGCUAAAGCACACGCGUUGUUGUAUCAUCAAAAAAGGAUCCUUACAGCCAUUGGGAUUAAUUGAUCAAAUGAAGUAGAAAAAAGAAAGAAAUCAAAAUCUUCAGGUCUGAUUAUCGCCAAUUCAUUCUGCAGGUAGAAUCAGAGAAGCCAUGUUAUAGCUGCAGCCUGAGAGAUCGUUUCAGCUGAAAAACCCAGAAUUUAUAAAGUUACGACUUCAUUCUCAUAAAUAUGAGGUUAAAAUGCAGAGGUUUGAUUUUAUAGGCUUCAGUCGAUGUAGUACAUUCUAGUUUUGGAUUCACUUGUAUAAAUUUUUAGUCUGUAAUUGUUUCAAAUCCUCUUAGUUUGGUUUGGAUGUCAUUGGUAUCUUAUGGUUUCUUAAUCCAAUAAUAUAGUGUUGAACUAUCCGCUGAGAUGUUAACAUUCUUUUACAGGCACAAAUUGUCUGCAAUUGAAAAUAAUAUAAAAUAAAAAGAACAAGUGAUAAAUGAGUUAAUCCGAGGAAAUUCGAACCUGUAUAAACAUGUUUUUAGUAUUUUGAAGGACCAAAUACCUCUCAAUACAAUUUUUCAGUUGCCAAAUAAAAUAUUUCAGCCUCCCAUUAUUAAGAUUGAUGCUAGUUUAAAUAGUAGCUUACAUAUAAAAUUUGAAACUAAAGAAUAGGAGCAACAAUCCUAAACUAAGGCAAAUAAUUAGCUAAUUAACUAACAACUGGUUCUGGUUUAUUGAGUUCAAGUAUAUGUUAACACAUUAACCACAACCAACCAAAUAAAUAUAACUUAAAAUAAAAUAAAAUAAAAAUAUCUCAAGACUUGAAGAUCGGAUCACAUUCUCGUUUAAUAAACUAACGCAGGAAUUUCAUCUCUGUCAUCUUUUCCUUUCAAUCAAUUGUAUUCAUGUUUCUAUUACAGACUGAAAUGACCUAAAUUAGAUUGUGAAAGAUGAAAAUGAUAUAAAUGUCCAAAACAUCUUGCAAUCAGGGUUUCGUUUUCCCUUUCCUAAUCCUGUUAGCAAAAUCCUUUUAUUGGAAAAACACAAACCGGAAGAAGAAGAAGACGAUAAGCAAAUUAUAAAGGACGUCAGCAUCCUGUUCUUUUCUAGAACUUAGUCUUUGCUUUCUUUACUGUUUUUUAAGAUGCUUUCCUUUUGGUCUAGUAUGGUAUCUCUUUCUUUGCUUGAACCAACAUAUAAGUAAAGGCUAAAUGCUCCUUCCACUUUUCUCUUGACUUGUGUAAUCUUUCUCUGGUACUCAAGAUCGAAUAAAAUGCCAUUUCAGUAAAGCCAAUUAGAGUUUUUUUUGUUCCAUCGGCAAGUCAUUCUUGCCUAUUUUGCCUCCGCUUGAAAGCUUCCGUGCAUCCAUUUAUCAGUACCCAAUUUGAAUACAAUUCAACUUUUUUUUUUCCCUUUUUGGUUUCUGUUUCUUCCAUUUAAUAGUUUGACUGAGAUGUUUAAAGGUGUGCUUGAGGUGUGGUAUUGCAUAGCAUUAGUGUGUAGGCCAAGCAUUACUUGAACAUAUCCCAUAUUUGACAAUUGAUUGGAAAGGAGUGAGCAGCAUUAAUCUUAGCUAAUGCGGUAGUUUGCAUUAGUUUUUUUUUUUAAUAUAAUAAUAAAAAAUAAGUAUAACUUUUUAAUAUAAUAUUAAUUCUGCUGUACGGCUUUUAUUAUAUAAAAAAUAUAAAUAAAAAAUAUAUUAUUUAUUUAUAUUAUAAUAAUUAAUAUAUAAAAUUGAUAAGUUAAUAUAACUAAUAAUAAAUACUUAAUAACAUAUAAAAAUAAAAAUAUAACAUAAUAUUACAUUAUUUAAUUAUAUUAUUGUAAUUAAUAUAUAAAAAAUUGAUUAUUAUUUAAGAAUUUAAUAUAACUAAAAAUAAAUGUUUAAAUAUAAAUAGACUUGAAUAAUAUUAAUUUGAAAUUAACAAUAUGAAUAAUAAUAUAAAAUAUUAUUACACAUACUAUAGAAUUCUUACUUGGAUUAUUUUCUAAAUAUAUAAUUUAAAUUAAUCACAAAAAAUUAAUACAGUCCAGUGCAACACCAAAUAUAGUAUAAUUAAAAAUUAAUACAGUACAGUAUAGCACCAAAUAUUGUACAACAUUUUUGUAAUACAAUACUAAUGCAAUAUAACAUAAUAUAAUACAUCUGCAUUAAAAGUAAUGCAAUACAAUAUAAUACAAUGCAGUGUGCCAAACACACCCUAAGUUCAAUCACAAUAAAAUAUCGUGGGAUAUACGGAAGUCUGUGAGAGGUACUAUACUAUCUAAAUUAUCUACAAAGUAACUUCAUUUUAUUAAAUUCUUAUAAUAUGAAUAUUAGAUCCACUUGAUGUUUGUGAUUGAUUCUUAUUUACAAGGAUAAACUUUUGCUCGCAUUUUUCAUAUGAUGACAGUUGACGCAGAAAUCUGGUCGAGUUGUUUAGCGACCAGACAACACUUAGAUUUGUGGUUAUUGGGGAGACGGUUCUAUGUUGCUUCCUCACUAUCGAACAAGUUCCUACGAUCUCGAACACUUCCUCCAAGAACACUUGCAUUUAUAACAACUAGUCAAGGGACACCACAAGUUUUUCAGGUGUAAACCCUCCGAUGCUCAAGUCAGCUAUCCAGGUCUAUGAUAGCUCUAUGAAAUGAGAGUUAUCAUGGUACUUUUAAACUGAAAUGAGAGUAAAUGACAUGUUUUUAUUGCAUUUUAGUUAUAUCUUGCAUGAGUAUCAAUUUUAGUUUAGUUUUAAUAAAUUUGAUGUUUUAGAAUAAUUUGUGUGCUUAGAUUGUGUGCAUAAUUGUAGGUGAUUGGAAGCUCAAAUUUCAAGGAAGGAAUGCUGCUGCAAUAGGCUUGCAAAAAUGGGAAAAGAACUUGGUUACAGAAGAAUUAAAACAAAUCUGGAACGGUGCAGUUGCUGUAUUCGUUGUUGCAGCAUCCAUUGAUGUACCAAUCCUAGAGCAUUGACAGAGAAGAUUGCGACAUGGAGUUUCCUAAUUUGGAAGAUACGCACCCUUGACUUCUUUUUACCCUAAUUUUCAGUUACAAAAAAAAGCACACACACAAAGGAAAGAGGGGGCCGCCAACCAAGAAAAAAAACUGAAAAGAAACAAGAGAAAAAGAGAAUAAAAGAUCGAAACUAAAGGCUGCAACAAGGAGAUUGUGGAGAUCAAUCAGAAAACUUAGUCUUUCUUAUUAUUCUCUUGUUUUCUUGUUUACUUUUUAAUCAUGAGGAUGUAUUUGAUGGCUAAAACUCUUUUGUUUAUUUUACUUUCGCAUAUCAUGAACUAAUUUAAUUGUGGUUGAGUGAUAGACAAUCUUAAUAGUUUGUUGACUGAAUUUAUAUGUUGAUGUGUGUUUGCUAUAGUAUUUUGUUUUGGUAAAGCUUAUUCUAUUCAUUAUUUUGGCUGACCACCCAUUUAAUGAUACAAACUAAGAAAGAGCCACAAAAAGGCCUAUCUUCGUAGGGACAUAUCAGAGCAGUACUUGGUUUUAGAUUGAGUUUCUUGAGUUGAGUUCCAUUUGAUUCCAAAAGGGUCAUGCUUAGUCUCAAAUUAGUGAUGAACUAGACAUAGGGAUUCACCUUAUAGGGUAAAUAAAACUUAAGCGUGUAAUACUAUAUCGUAUGUUGGCAUAACAAUUGGUCACUGUUAGGUUGCAUAGGGAUAUAAGCCAUCCAACAAGCGACAACUGAGAAUACAUUAGGAUUAUGCCCAAUGCUGCAGCAACUACACCUAAAAUUGAAAUAAAUAGUCAAAACCAUUAAGAGAGUUUAAUCAUUAACUACUUUAUUCUUAUUGAUUUUAUCCUUGUGUGAGAUGUGAGAAUUUUCUUUCCCGCAUUUUUAUUUAUUGUGUUUUAUUUUAAUUAAUAGUUUAUUAGUUUAAUUGUUCGUUCUAUUUUCAAUCAAGGCAAAAUUGCACUGUUGAGAUUGCUAUAGCAAGUCUGAUAAUAUCAAUCCCUAUGAAGACGAUCUUGAAUAUUCAUAACUUCAUUAUUUGUUGUGUACACUUGCAUAUUGACAUCAAUAGCAUAAGAAAAAGUUACAACAAUCUACCUAGAAAAACUUGUACCACUAUUCAUGUGGCUUAAUUAUAAUUGCGCUGUACGGAAGAAAGGUUUUAUUUAAGAAAGAAAGAAGGAUAGAGAAGAUAAAAUUGUGAAUAGAGAGAGAGCAUGAGAAAAUUAAAUGAAAAGUUGUCCAACCCCCUUACCUUCGUUCUUUGGAGCUUUAAAUCCAACCGAAAGUAUCAACCUCUUCUCCCUUAACAUUGUUACUGGGUGGGUUACAUAACCAUGGGCGAGUGGGCAGCGUAAUUGUUAGUGAGUAGGUUUCGUGCCCGAAUUCUUUGGAGGAAACCCAAGGUUGACCUUUGACCAAGUCUUUGAUUUGACUUGGUUUUAGUCUCUCCUCGCGCGUCCUCAAGCCAACUCUGCUCAUGUGACUAGCCACAUGCCUCAUCAAGGAUAAUCUUCCUCGAGGAGCCAUUUUAGGCUGAGGGGAGCACAUUAUGCUCAUGUGUGCCUGAUCGUGAUGUUUCUCACCUCGAAACAUCAAUCCCCCAGUUUCUAGUAUUGAGAGUGAAACGAAUCAAAACUAGAAACUUAAUGUAUCCUAUAUUCCAAGCUGCAUUUAUGGCUACUCGAUUUUGUAGCAGAAAGUUAUUGAAAAAGAGUUUUCACUCCCUAGAUUAGCUAGCACAUGUUCACCCAAACUGCUGUGUCAUCUCAAAUGUGUGUGAUAUGGCACGCACUGAACCAAGCAUUUAAAUUUUAAAUGGGCAGUUGCAGCACCCUCAAGGUACUCGUUAUUAAAUGAUGUGCUAGUUAAGAACUUUUCACUUCCCCAAAAUCCUUAAUUUCCCACAUCGUUUUAUCUCCUUCAUUCAUUUUGUUUGCUUUUUCUAGUUACUGAGCCAUUUCCUUUCGCCAGAGGACAAGUUGCAGAAGUCGCCUCACAUUUGUUUUUUCCUCGCACAGGUACUAUUUCUCUCACUUCAUCGUUGGGUAUUUAUUGUUUUUAUUUGGCUUUGUGGGUUUUUAGUUAUACUUCUAGGUGUGCUUGAAAGAUGUCAAAGGGCAAGGAAAAAAUAGUUGAUAAUGAAUUGGAGUUUUAGCCCAACUUACUCAAGGAUUUGAUUUUCAACCCAAAGAUCCCCGUACGUAAUACCAGUGUUAGAGAUAGUGUUGAGAGAAUGUCUUUUGAGACUUCGACCUCAUCUGAAGAAAAUGGGUCAAAUACCACCAGUAUCGAUGAGGUCUCUAAUACAGAGUAGACUUUAAGUGAAAGCCAAGAGAGAAAUUCUACUGAGGAUGGAGGUGAAUAGUCUUUACUAGAAGAGGUUCGACCAGAGAAGAAAUGAAAAUUGAGAAGUAGAACUCUGGCCAACAACUACCCCAAUGACUAUAUGAUAUACAGGAAAACGAUAGAUGAUUUGAACAGACUUGAAGAGUGGUCCAAAAGAUGGAGGUUGGUAUUACCCUAUGUCGAGUACUAAAGCCAUAAAACCCAUAACUGACAUCUCCACUGCGGGUGGAAAUUGGUAAAGCAAGUUUUUUUUUUGUUGGGGGUAACUAAGGUCGAGUAAUGUCUAUAGAUGAUAGGAAUAUUCAUGUUCCUUCCGGUUUCUUGACUCAAGGUCGCUUACUGGCUUAAGACAUUUUUCAUUCUACUCACUUAGUUAAAUUAUACCAUUCCAACGUGAUCUUGCCUUAUGCUACAGAUUCCUAGAGCGUGGUCUACAAUAUUAAGAGCAGAUUACUAAAUAGGGUUGAGGUCACUUUAGUAAAUUCUUGCUCAUGGAGAGAUCUACUUUCUAUUUAUAGCUUGGUCGACUCACAUUUAACGUCAAAGGGAGUUUGAGCAAAGAUGCCUUUUGGAAAAGCACCUUGGUACUGCAAAAAAAGUUUCUUUUCUGAAGACUCUCCCGCCUCCACUACCUAAGGUAAGUGAAACAAGUGGGGCUUGUUAGCCUUAUGGCUAUAAAUGUUAAUUUUGAUGAUAACAAACCAUAUGUGUUGGUUAAACAAAGAUUUAUGUAUUGGGCUUUUAUAAUAAGAAAAUGAUUUUAUGGAGUUAAGUUGUUUUUCAAGUUAUGGACUAAAAUGAAAGAAUUUUACAAUAUUUGAUUUUAAUAAAUAUUGUUUUGAAUUUCAGAUUUGGACCUAUUUGAAAAUAUUUAAAUAUUUUAAGUCAUUCUAUAAUUUCACAUAUUUUAGGUCAUAUCAUAAUUUCAGAAAGUUUUGAGAUUAAUAAAGUAAUAUUUAGAAAUUCCAAAAUUGGACUUAUUUGAAAAGAUUCAUAACGUUUUGGGCCAUAAUACAGUUAUAUAAAGUUUUAGGGUCAAACUAUAAUUUUAAAAAAUAAUUCACUAUAGCAGUUACUAUAGCAAGAGGCUAUCCGGAUCCUGACAAACGGUAGACCGAAUUUGGGCAGUAAGCUUCUGGAACAUAAACGGCUAUCUGGAUUUCAUAAGCGGCAUACCGGAUGUUCAAAAAUUCAAAUUUUGGAUGUAACAGUAACAUUAAGCGGCUAACCGGAUGUCCAUAAAUGGUAAGCCAUUUAUCACCAAAAUGUGCAUAACAGCUAGUUUUUGAGCUCAAACUAUAUAAACUGAAAUCCAAUUCAUUUUCAAUCUCUCCAGCAAGCAAAAACAAAAAAGCACACAUCAUAUCUUGAGCUCUCAAUUCGCAAAUCAUUAUUCAUUGAAUCAUCUUUGUUCUUUAAUUUGUUCAUCUACUCUUUAAGAGAGUUUAUUUUGUUGUAAUUUUCAUUUCUUCAUCUUAAUUGUGAGUGUUUGAGUGUGUGAGACACUUGAGUGAAGAGAUUGGGAGAUAAUCUCUUUGUUGUAAAGGUUCAUAGACACCUUGAAAUCAAUUGUAAACAUUUGAAGUCUUGGAAGGCUUGGAUAGUGAAAUCCUCAAGCUUGGAUCGCUUGGAGGCGUGGACGUAGGCGGGGAUUGCCGAACCACGUAAAAAUUCGUGUAUUUGUUUCUCUUCUCUCUUACUCAUUUGUUAUUGUGCUUUUAUUGAACUUAUUGCUUUUGAAUUUAUUAAGACAUUUGAUUGGAUUGUUGUGUGGUUUUGUUAGGAUAAUUUUUAAAAUACCAAUUCACCCCCCUCUUAGGUUGCAGACUUGUAUUUCAGGGUUGCUAGUGACAAAGGUCCCACCACUUCUCCUCCUCUUGUUGGCUAUAAAUUUAAACUUCCAAAUGAGUGACCCGAAUAUUUGAUCCUUUAUAUCAAUGAGCAUAGUAAACUGGUGAAGAAGAAAGAUGUUGAGGAUUUAAAGGCCAUACACUCGGGAUCUGGUAGGCGCUCUUCAAUUCGGUGUGUUUCAGUUGGGCAUCCUGGCCGCUUAUUACAAAGCAAAAGUUAGUCGCUAUAAGAGGAAAAUAAAGGAUGAUAUUUAAACUUUGAAGAAGAAUGCGGCCAGCUUCAUCUCAAGAACUUAAAGCUUGUGGAACAAAUGUUCUUCUCUAAAGCUAGGGUAGUCUAACUUGAGAAAAAGCUGGCCAAUAUUAAGGAAGAGUUACCACCCAAAAAAUCUCUUACAGAAAAAAGAGGCCCUACUGCAACUAGAGAAACCACCACUCCUCUUAUUGCAGCUGGCGAGACUACUAUUCCUCCUACCAGUGGCGGACCCAUAAACUAAAAUAAGGGGGGGCUUAGUUGAGCUCAAACUAUAUAAACUGAAAUCCAAUUCAUUUUCAAUCUCUCCAGCAAGCAAAAACAAAAAAGCACACAUCAUAUCUUGAGCUCUCAAUUCGCAAAUCAUUAUUCAUUGAAUCAUCUUUGUUCUUUAAUUUGUUCAUCUACUCUUUAAGAGAGUUUAUUUUGUUGUAAUUUUCAUUUCUUCAUCUUAAUUGUGAGUGUUUGAGUGUGUGAGACACUUGAGUGAAGAGAUUGGGAGAUAAUCUCUUUGUUGUAAAGGUUCAUAGACACCUUGAAAUCAAUUGUAAACAUUUGAAGUCUUGGAAGGCUUGGAUAGUGAAAUCCUCAAGCUUGGAUCGCUUGGAGGCGUGGACGUAGGCGGGGAUUGCCGAACCACGUAAAAAUUCGUGUAUUUGUUUCUCUUCUCUCUUACUCAUUUGUUAUUGUGCUUUUAUUGAACUUAUUGCUUUUGAAUUUAUUAAGACAUUUGAUUGGAUUGUUGUGUGGUUUUGUUAGGAUAAUUUUUAAAAUACCAAUUCACCCCCCUCUUAGGUUGCAGACUUGUAUUUCAGGGUUGCUAGUGACAAAGGUCCCACCACUUCUCCUCCUCUUGUUGGCUAUAAAUUUAAACUUCCAAAUGAGUGACCCGAAUAUUUGAUCCUUUAUAUCAAUGAGCAUAGUAAACUGGUGAAGAAGAAAGAUGUUGAGGAUUUAAAGGCCAUACACUCGGGAUCUGGUAGGCGCUCUUCAAUUCGGUGUGUUUCAGUUGGGCAUCCUGGCCGCUUAUUACAAAGCAAAAGUUAGUCGCUAUAAGAGGAAAAUAAAGGAUGAUAUUUAAACUUUGAAGAAGAAUGCGGCCAGCUUCAUCUCAAGAACUUAAAGCUUGUGGAACAAAUGUUCUUCUCUAAAGCUAGGGUAGUCUAACUUGAGAAAAAGCUGGCCAAUAUUAAGGAAGAGUUACCACCCAAAAAAUCUCUUACAGAAAAAAGAGGCCCUACUGCAACUAGAGAAACCACCACUCCUCUUAUUGCAGCUGGCGAGACUACUAUUCCUCCUACCAGUGGCGGACCCAUAAACUAAAAUAAGGGGGGGCUUAGUUCAAAAAUUUUUAUUUAACUUAGAUUUUUUUAAUGUUCACUCGAAUACAUUUUAAGUCUUAUAAACUUAAAUUUUAUUACUUUUUUAAAUUCUAAAUAAUAAUAGUAAUAAAUUAUUAUUUUUAAAUGCGUGAAAAUAUCAUUUUUUGAAGUACUAUUUUAAAUGCGUGAAAAUAUUAUUUUUCUAAGUAGUUUCCACAAAAUAUUUAAAAAAAUAAAAUAAUGUGGCUAAUGGGAUUUGAACCAAGGUUUUAAAAUCAUUAAAUAGCACUCUUACCAUUGAACCACAAGUCUUUUAAUAUAUGAAAAAUGUGUCCAAAUUCUUUUAUCUAACUUUUUCAAAAGGGGCUUGGGGUAUAUUUAAAAGAAAACUUAACGGUCCAGGGGGGGCUGAAGCCCCUCCUAGGCCUUAAUUGGGUCCGCCCAUGCCUCAUACUACAACUGGCGAGACCCCCACUCCUCCUCUAACCAGUGACAAUUCAACGAGAGUAAACCCUCUCGUAAACCCUUAAAUUUCUUAGAUGUGACAAAUUAUCUCUUUUAAUCAACAGAUCUUUUGCACAAUGUUGUACUUCUUUUUCGUUAAUGUUAUAAAUGUUUUCUUGCCCUUCCAAAUUUUCAUGAUUGAUUGUAUGCUCGCCCUGUUGCUAAUGAACAAGUGUUGGUAUAUUUUGACUUUGGUCUCACCUUGAGGAGGCUUCGAGACUAAAAGUCUUAUAUUUGCCUUAGAAAUUUAUUUAUGUAUGAUUGCUUGUUCGCCUUCGCUUGGUCGAAUAGGUUUUGGAAAAUUUGACUUUUUAUCUCGCCUUGAGGAGGCUUUGAGACUUAAAGUCUUAUACUUGCAUUAAAAAAUAUUUAUGCAUCAUUGCCUGUUUACCUUCUUGGUUGAGCAGGUUCUGGUAAAUUUGACUUUUUAUCUCGCUUUGAAGAGGCUUUGAGACUCAAAGUCUUAUACUUGCUUUAGAAAAUAUUUACACAUGAUUGCCUGCUCGCCUUCAAUUGGUCAUGCAAGUUCUGGAAAUUUUGACUUUUUAUCUCACGCCGAGGAGGUUUUGAGACUUAAUGUCUUAUACUUACAGUAGAAAAUAUUAACGUAUAAUUGUCUGCUCACCAUCACUUGGUUGAGCAGGUUCUGGCAAAUUUGAUUUUUUAUCUCGCCUUGAGGAUACUUUGAGACUUAAAGUCUUAUACUUGCCUUAGAAAAUAUUUAUGCAUGACUGCCUACUUGCCUUCGCUUGGUUGAGCAGGUUUUGGCAAAUUUGAAUUUCCAUCUCGCUUCAAGAAGGCUUUGAGACUUAAAAUCUAUGAUUUGCCUUAGAAACAUUUAAUACAAAACAAAGGGAAGAAUCAAAUGAAUGGAUUUUACUGCACCCAUCUUAUUUACAACUCUAUGAACUACAAAUGAAGUAAUUUAAAGAUACUAAUUCGUUAAGAAAUUCGACCGUCUAAUUUCAUGAAAACUUUAUUGAAAGUACUUCUUUAGUUGCUCUGUAUUCCAGGAUUUCUUGACUUUUCAUCCAUCUGCGUAGGCAAGCUUGUACACUCUUAGUCUAACUGCCCUCAGAACUUUGUAAAGUCCUUCCCAAUUGGGGAUGAGCACUCCAUGGUUUAGAUAUCUGGUGCUUUGAUUUAUCUUUUUGAGCACCCAAUCAUUACUUUUGAAUUGUUGUACUCAAAAGUUCUAAUUGUAAUAUCAAAUAAUCCUUUGUUGAUAGACUGUUACUCUUUUUAAGGCAACUGAUCUCUUCUUGGCGAGCAAAUAUAGGUUUAAGCACAUCUGUUGUUGUUUUUGUCCUCGUUAAGGCUCCUUGUCUGAUGAGUACACAUCCCAAUUUUUGCUGGCGCAACUGCCUAAUAACCAAAAGCUAAUGCAAAAAGGAUCUCACCUGUGGCGUUCUUAUGAGUAGUUCUGUAAACCUAAAGAACACCGGGAAACUUCUCGACCCAUGCUCCCUUUUUCUCCCAUAAUCGAGUCUUCAAGAGUUUUUUAAUAGCUUUGUUUGCUGCUUCUACCUAUCCAUUUGCCUUCGAAUGAGCUGGCGAGCAGAAUCUUAGCUUGAUGCUUAAGCUCUUGCAAAAAUUCUUGAAGUUAUAGCUGUCAAAUUGUUUACCGUUAUUUGUUAUAAGGCUAUAAGGGAUUCGAUAUCUGCACAGGAUGUUCCUUCAAACAAAGUCAGUCGUCUUCUUCUUUGUUAUCCUACUGAACGACUCGAUUUCGACCUACUUCGUGAAAUCAUCUAUUGCUAGAAUAAUAUGAGUGGCGGCUCAUCGCCCUUUCAGUAAAGGCCUGAUCAGGUCUAUUCCCCACUGAGCAAAUGGCCAUAAUUUUUUUUGGCAGUUGUGCUAGAAACAAGCAAAGUUUUGCCAACUCUUGCAACUCCUGGUCUUUUCUUGUGCAUUUUGACCAUCAUUGGCCAAAAAUAUCCUUACCUUAGGGCUUUGAAGGCCAACGAUCUCGCCCCUGAGUGAUUUUCACAAACUCCUUUAUGCACAUCCCUCUGCACAUAGUAUGCCUCAUCUUCAUCUAAUCAUAGUAAAAAAGGUAAGGUAUGCCCUCGCCUAUACAGCACCCUAUUAAUCAACGUAUAUUUAGACAAUUAACAUUUGAGUUUUCAUGCUCGCAUCUUAUCUGCUGGCAAUGUUCUAUCUUGAAUAUAUGAAAUUAUCAAAUUCAUCCAUGUGUUUCGCCCAUCUACCCACUUCUUUUCUGAAUCCUGCUCGAUAUGGGGAGAGGCUUUAACUUCAAUGGGAAUGGACUUCGGCAUCCUUGCAUCUGUUGUAACAGCCAUUCUAGCCAAGAUAUCUGCUCAAUAAUUAUUUGCCCUUAAGAUCUACUCCAUGUCAACUAGUCAAACUUCUCAAUUAUUUGUCUAGCCUUCUUUAAGUAUUGUUGUAUCUUUUCACCCCAAGGUUGAAAGUUCUCAUUGCAAUGGUUAGCAACGAGCUGAGAAUCUGUUCAAACUCUCACUUUGCUUGCUCAAGCAGCCUAGGCCAACUUCAAUCCCACUAUGAAGGCUUUGUAUUUUGCUUGAUUAUUGGUCGCCUUAAAUUCAAACCUUAAGGCAUAAGAGAUUUAUUCUCCAUCGAGACUUUCUAAGACCACUCAUGCCCUUACUUUUUCCUCGCUUGAAGAGCCAUCCACCGUUAUCAGCCAGACUCUAUCCUCACUACUCCUAGUAACCGCCUGAUCACCACUAGCUUUCGGGUAUGGUUUUGUGAGUUAUACUAUAAAAUUCGCUAAUGCUUGUGCUUUGAUUGCUGCUUGGGGUUUGUAACUUAUAUCGAACUCACUUAACUCCAUCGAACACUUCACCAAUCAUCGGAAACCUCUGGUUUAUGUAUUGUGUGUUAUAACAGUUGAUCCGUAAUCACAACGAUUGAAAAGGCCUAAAAAUAUAGCCUUAGUUUUCAAGCAGCAACAAUAAGGGCAAGGGCCCAUUUCUUCAUCAUCGGAUAUUUGAUCUCAGCAUUGAGCAGGGCUUUGCUAGUGUAGUAAAUCAGAUAUCUAGCGAUCGAAGGCACCAUGCGGGGCACCGAUGCUGUUCCAACGGAAGCAUGAUGACUCACUUCGACUCUGCAUCAAUUACCGAGCCCUCAACAAAGUGACCGUGUAGAAUAAGUAUCCCAUCCCACUGAUUACAGACUUGUUCAACCAACUUGGACAUGCCAAGUACUUCUCCAAGCUUGAGCUUAGAUCAGGAUAUUACCAAGUACGGAGUGCAGAGGGAGAUGAGCUAAACACCGCUUGUGUGACGAGAUAUCGGGCAUACGAGUUCAAAGUCAUGCCUUUUGGCCUCACCAAUGCUCCGGCCACAUUCUACACGCUCAUGAACUGCAUAUUCCAGCCAUACCUUGAUCAGUUUAUGGUGGUGUAUCUCGAUGACAUUGUGGUUUACAAUGGCACCUUAACGAAGCAUGCCGAGAACUUGCGGGUUGUGUUCAGGGUGUUGCGGGGCAAUGAGCUGUUUGUUAAGCGGGAGAAGCGUUCGGUCGCUAAACUGGAAGUUGAUUUUCUUGGCCACAAAAUCAGAGAUAGGACAUUGCUCAUAGACAAGGCUAAGGUCCAAGCCAUUGCGAAAUGGGAGCUGCCCUAGAAGGUGACUGAGUUGAGCUCUUUCUUAGGCCUUGCCAACUACUACCGGAGAUUCAACAAGGGUUAUUCCGCCAUUGUUGCACCACUCACCGAUUUGCUCAAGAAGAGUAACAAGUGGGAAUGGACGGAGAGGAGCCAACAAGCCUUCGAUGCCCACAAGAAGGUCGUGACGGAAGAGUCGGUACUAGCACUACCGAACCAUGCCUUACCGUUUGAGGUACACACAUAUUUUUCAGAUUUUACUAUUGGGGGUGUACAUCCCAUAGCCUUUGAGAGCCGAAAACUCAACAAUACGGAGCGGUGAUAUACAGUACAAGAGAAGGAGAUCACUGUGAUAGUGCGCUAUUUGCGCACAUAGAGACACCACUUGCUUGGGUCCAAGUUCAUGGUGAAGACAGACAAUGUGGUGAAGACGAACAUCCCAUAGCCUUUGAAAGCCAAAAGAAGCUAAGUCUGAAACAAGCGAGAUGGCAUGAUUUCUUGGCCGAGUUCGACUAUGUGCUGAAGGAUAAGCCAGGAAGGGCCAAUUUGGUAGUGGAUGCCUUAAGUCGGAAGGUCGAGCUUGUUGCCAUGAGCCGGAUACAAAGGGAGCUUCUUACGCUCAUAAAGGAGAGAACGUAGCAUGAUCCCUUAGCCAAACGACUGGUUUCCCUCGUGCAACAGGGGAAAUCGAAGAGAUUUUGGGUUGAGGAUGGUCUUUCGUACACCAAGGGACGACGUGUCUAUGUUCCAAAGUGGGGAAACUUGAUGCAGAACUUGAUCAAGGAGUGUCAUAACACCAAAUGGGCUGGACACCUAGGACAAAGGCGGGAACGAGCCUUGCUUGAGUCGGCAUACUAUUGGCCUCAGAUGUGGGAUGAGGUGGAGCAGUUUUUACAGACAUUCUUAGUGUGCCAAUAGGGCAAAGUGGAGCAACAAUGUCUCGCAGGGUUACUUGAGCCACUGCCCACUCCGGAUCGAUCGUGAGAAAGCACAUCAAUGGAUUUCAUCACUUGUCUUCCAAAGUCCGAGGGGUUUGCGACUAUUGUUGUGGUGGUAGAUCGCUUCUCCAAGUAUGCCACUCUUAUUCCCGCCCCGAAGGAGUGUACAAUGGAGGACACAUCCAAGCUUUUCUUUAAGCUUGUGGUGAAAUAUUGAGGACUUCCAAAAUCCAUCAUUAGCGAUUGUGACAACUGGUUUACGGGGAGGUUUUGGACUGAGUUGUUCAAGCUCAUGGGGUCGGCACUGCACUUCUCUACGAGAUUUCACCCAUAGACCGCGGGGCAAACAGAGAGAGUGAAUGCCUUGUUGGAGCUGUACUUGUGGCAUUUGGUAAGCGCCAACCAGCAUGAUUGGGCAAAGUUACUGGACGUGCCCAAUUUUUCUACAACUUGCAGUGGAGUGAGGUUACUUCGAGGAGCCCUUUCGAGGUGAUCAUGGGACAGCAGUAGCUAACGCCACGCACACUUAUCACAGGCUACACGGGGAGGUGUCCUGCGGCAUACUAGGUGGCUAAAUCGUGGCAUGAGCAAGCGGACAUAUCACGGGCGCACCUCGACAAGGCGAUCAAGUGGAUGAAGAAGUAGGCGAACAGCAAGUGUAGAUAUUUGGAGUUCAAUGUGGGGGAUAUGAUGCUAGUGAAGAUCCUACCAUCCCAACACAAGUCUACCCAUUCACUAUACAAGGGCCUUAUUCGGAAGUAUGAGGGGUCAUUUCCCAUCAUCAAGAAGGUCGACAAUGUGUCAUACAAGCUAGAGUUGCCCUCUUGGCUAAAACUCUAUCUGAUCUUCCAAGUGAGUUGCUUAAAGCCAUACUAUAGGGAUACAGAAGAUCCGAAGUAGGGAGAAUUUAAGUGCCCUCCACUCAGCAAUACGAGGGUGUAUGACAAAGAAGUGGAGACCAUCUUGGCUGAUCGAGUGGUUUGUAAGAAGAGUUUUCCGCCAUGCCAAGAGUACUUUGUCAAAUGGAAGAGACUAAACGAGAGUGAACCAAGUUGGAAGCUCGCAAAAGGUUUGUGGUAGUUUUAAGACAAGAUCAAAGACUUCCACCGUGAGUCGACGAGGACGUCUCCGGAUUAAGAGGGGGAGAAUGUCAUGGCCAAAGCCUCUAGGUAACAUGGACUGGACCCAUGGAUGAUUCUAGACUUAUGUAGUGUGUAGAUAUCUCUCAUGUACUUAUUAUAGAUAGGUGGUAGGUAGUAGUUGAGCAUUAACCUACUUUAUUGUACUCUAUAUAUAAAAGGGUUUGACCAAUACACACAAGACAUAACAAACAAAACAAUAUACAUAGCUUGUAAGCAUUUCAUCGAGCAAGAUAAGUCAUUUCCUCUUAUCUUGUGUGAGUUUGAGUGAAUACACAUUCCGAUUUUUGAAUCCAGCAACGGAUUUGAGUGUAAGGCUGACUUAGGGCCAAGAGAGUGUGAAUUUAGCGCCUAAGGCUGCAAGUCACAGUGUGGGAUAUAACCAGGCCAUUACAUAGGACAAAAGAAAGACAAGAUUUUUCACUCUAUUUAUUAUGCCAGCAAGACUUUUGCAUAUGAUAAAUUCAUGGCUUAUUUAGUUGGCACCAAAGUGACUGUUUAUAUAGAUCACUCGGCUAUAAAGUAUUUGAUUUCAAAGAAGGAUGCCAAACCAAGGUUGAUUACGUAGAUUCUAUUGUUACAAGAGUUUGACUUAGAGAUUGAGGACAGAAAAGGUACUAAGAAUCAAGUAGCAAAUCAUCUUUCAAGGCUGGAAGCAGAUGAAAGCACUCUGACCUAGCAAGAUAUCACAAAAAUAUUUCCUGAUAAGCAAUUGUUAAUGCUACAACACUCUUAGAUGUUGCAGCAAUUUAGAUUUCCAUGGUAUGUAGAUUUUGUUAACUAGAUAUAGGGAUUCACCUUGUAGGGUAAAUGGAACCUAGAACGUUUAAUGUUAUAUCUAAUAUUACCGUAACAAUUGGUCAUUGUUAGGUUUUAUUAAGGUAUAAGAAAUCCAACAAGCGACAAUUGUGGAUGCAUAAAAGAUUCUUCCUAAUGCUUUAGUAGAUGAUGUAGCAACAAAUUCCUAAUUAGAGAAACAGUCAACACUAUUAAGUGAGCUUAAUCACUCUACUACUCUAUUCCCAUUAAGUUUGUCCUUGGGUUUGACUAGAGAAUUUUCUUUAUUGUAUUUUAUUUAUUACAUUUUUAUUUUAGUUAGUUCAUUAGUUUCAUAAAUUGUCUUAUUUUAAUUAGAACAAAACUGCAUUGUUAAGAUUGUUGUAGUAAGUUUGAUAAAAUCAAUCCAUGUGGAGACGAUCUGAAUACUCAUCAGUAUAUUACUUGUUGUGUACACUUGCACAUUGACAAUGAUAGCAAUAUAAAUCACCCAGCAUCAAACCAUUACCUGGCUCUCAAGUAUCGAGUAAAUGGUGUGGCUAGGGUUGUGAGAGGCGAUUAGAGAAUAGCCGGGGGAAUUUUGCAACUAUAACUAGAGAAACUAUGCAAAUAACCUCGCACAUACAAUGGAGAUUCCCAAAAGGGAAGGCAAGAACCAAUGGAAGAAGUUGAAAUAGUGAAUAUGAAACACGAUAAUGCGAAGAGGACAAUGAAAGUUAGAUGAAGGCUAGACAAGGAGUUAAAAACAGAACUAGUGUAGUGCUUGUGAGCACAUAUUGAUGUAUUCGCCUGGUCGCAUGAUGACAUGCAGAGAAUCGACCCCAAGAUAGCUUGUCACAGAUUAACGAUGAAACAGAAGAUGAGAUGUUUUAACCAAGAAAUAUACGAGUCCAUUAACGAUGAGGUGGAGAAACUACUAAAGGUAGAAUUUAUUAGAGAGGUGAACUACCUCAAAUGGAUAUCCAAUAUAGUUCUGGUGAUAAAGGCCAAUGGCAAAUGGAUGAUGUGUAUUGAUUUCAUUGACUUUGACAAGGUAUGUCUAAAAGAAAGUUUUUCCUUGCCAAAAAUCAAUCAGUUGAUCGAUUCAACAAUCGGUCAUAGCUUUGCUUAACUUUAUGGACGCAUUCUCAAAAUGCAAUCAAAUUCCAAUGUUCGAGCAAGAUGAGGAGUACACAACUUUUAUUACUAACCAGGGUCUGCUUUAUUACAUGGUGAUAUCAUUCGGCCUAAAAAAUGCUAAUGCAACGUACUAGAGGCUGGUGAAUAAAAUUUUCAAGUCAUUAAUUGCACGCACAAUGGAAGUGUACGUGGAUGACAUGAUCAUUAAGUCUAAGGACCCAGCUGAGCACACAAAACACUUAGAAGAAACAUUCGAGCUCUUAAGGAAGUAUAAGAUGAAGCUCAACCCUGAGAAAUGCAUUUUCGAGUGAGUUUGGAGAAAUUCUUUAGAUUCAUGGCCAGCCAUAGAAGGAUUGAGGGAAACCCUGAGAAGAUUCGAGCAGUAUAGAAAUAAAAUCUCCUCACCCCUUUAAGGAGAUACAAAGCCUUACAGGAAAGCUGGCAGCGUUAAGUCGAUUCAUAUCCAAAGCAAAAGACAAAUGCCAUGUCUUUUUACGAGUGAUGAAGAGAGGGAAAAAGACAUAAUGGACUCAGGAGUGGGUGGAGGCCCCUCUUUUGUCAACACCACGAGAAGGUAAUACAAUGUACUUGUACUUAGCUAUAUCCAGGUACGCCACGAGCUCAAUUUUUGGUGUAAGAGGAUACAAGAAUCCAAUACCCGGUAUACUAAAGCCCUACUUGAUGCCGAUACCGGAUACCCAAUGAUGAAGAAAUAGAUCAUUGCCAUUAUUGUUGCUACUCGAAAAUUGAGGCCAUAUUACCAGGUCUUUCCAAUUGUCGUGGUUAUAGAUCAACCAUUACGACAAAUACUGCAUAAACCAAAGGCUUCUGGAUGGUUGGCAAACUAGUUGGUGGAGUUAAGUGAGUUUGAUAUAAGUUAUAAACCUCGAGCAGCAAUCAAAGUAAUGGCGCUAGCGGAUUUUUUAGCUGAAUUGACGAAACCUAAUAUGGAGAUUAAUGAUGCGCAUGCUAUAACAUAUAAUAGUGUAAUCUAGAUUUGGCUGGCAAUGCUGGAUAGGUCUUCAAACGAGCAAGGAGCCGGGGCAGGAGUGAUCCUAGAAAGUUCAAAGGGGGAAGAAAUCUCUUACGCCUUAAGGUUUGAAUUUAAAGCGACAAAUAAUCAAGCAGAAUACGAGGCCUUUAUAGUAGGACUAAAGUUAGCCCUGGCAAUUCAACCAAAUAGAGUAAGAAUUCAGACAUAUUCUCAGCUUGUGGCUAACCAUCUUAAUGAGAGAUUUUAAUCGAAGGGAGAGAAGAUGGAGCAAUACUUAAGGAAGGCUAGACAGAUGAUUAAGAAGUUUGAGUUGGUUAAUAUAGAGCAAGGCUAGACAGAUGAUUAAGAAGUUUGGCUAGACAGAUGAUUAAGAAGUUUGAGUUGGUUAAUAUAGAGCAAAUUCUAAGGAUAGAAAAUUACUAAGCAAAUAUCCUAGCCCGAAUGGCUGCUACAACAGAUGCAAGGAUGCCAAAGUCAGUUCCCGUGGAAGUUAGAGCCUCUCCCAACAUCGAGCAGGAUUUGGAGGUGAUGCGAAGAGAUAGGAGAAGCUCAUGUAUGAACCUGAUGAUUUCAUAUAUUUGGGACAGAACAUUGCCAAUAGAUAAAAUACGAGCAUAGAAAUUUAAAUACCAAGCAUCUAGGUAUACGUUGAUUGAUGGAGUGCUAUAUAGGCAGAGGCAUACCUUGCUUUUUUUAUGGUACUUGGAUGAAAAAGAGGCAGACUACAUUCUAAGGGAGGUGCAUGAAGGAAUUUGUGGAAAUCAUUCAGGGGUAAGAUCUUUGGCCUUCAAAGCCUAAGGCAGGAUAUUUCUAGCCAAUGGUGUACCAGGAUGCACAAGAGAAGACUAGGAGUUACAAAAGUUGCCAAAGUUUUGCUUGUUUUCCAACGCAGCCACCAGAGAGGUUCACUACUAUAUCCUUGCCAUGACUGUUUGCAUAAUGGGGGAUCAACUUAAUUGGAGCGUUACCCAAAGGGCGAGGAGCAACUUCUAAUACUAUUGUGGUGGCUAUAGAUUAUUUCACGAAAUGGGAGAAAGUUGAUGCUCUUAGUAAGAUCAUGAAAAAGAAGACAAUUGAUUUUAUUUGAAAGAACCUCAUAUGCAAGUAUAGAAUUCCUUAUGCCUUGAUAACAGACAAUGUUAGGCAAUUCGAUAAUCACAACUUUAAAGCGUUUUGUCAUAACUUGGGUAUAGAGUUGAAAUUUUGCUUGCCAGCUCACCCAAGAGCCAACGGGCAGGUAGAGGCAGUGAACAUGACAAAAAAAAAAAGCUUCUGAAAACUUAAUUAGGGGAAAAGAAGGGGACAUGGGUUGAUAAACUGUCACGUGUGCUUUGGGCAUAUAGAACCACUCAUAAGACUACCAGAGAAAAACAUUCGCCCUGGCUUUUGGUCAUGAAGCGAUGGUCCCUUUAGUGGGGUGACUACCCACCGAACGGAGUAUUUUAACGAGGAGGAAAAUGACAAACAAAUCUGCUUAAACCUGGGCUUACUAACUAAAAGAAAGGAGCUCGUGUCGAGAAAGGUAGUAGUUUACCAACAGAGAGUUGCUCAUUAAUACAACUAGAAGGGUGAAUCAGAAUACCAGAGACUAAAGCCAGAGAGUAUUCAGUUUUAACUAGGAGGACGAGAAGCAGGGCCAGGGGCCUACAAGUUAGCUUAUAAAAAUGUUCGCAAGGUCAAACGAUCAUGGAACGCCGAGCACUUAAAGAAGUACUUCUAGUAAGCGUUCUCCGUAGUCAUCUAGUUAAUUUUUUAUAAUUAUUCAAUGUUUAUGUUGAAUUUGUUUCUUAUACCACCUGAAGUCAAUUUAUUUCUUGUAAUUCCUGAAGUAUUGAAUAAUAUGAGCCAGAUAAAGUUCACUCAUUUAACUUUUUCUAUUUCUAAGGCAAGUAAAAGCUUGAAGUUUCAAAGCCUCCUCGAGGCGAGCAAAAGUCAAACUUGUCAAAACCUACUCACUAAUGACAAGACGAGAGGUAGUUAAUUAUGUAAAUAUUUUCUAAGGCAAAAGAUAAAGCUUGAAGUCUCAAAGCCUCAUCAAGGCGAGACAAAAAGUCAAAUUUGCCAAAACUUGCUCAAUCAAGUGACGGCAAGCAGGCAGUAAAUUAUAUAAAUAUUCUCUAAGGAAAAUAUAAAAAUAUUUUAAGGUAAGUAAGGGCUUCAAGUCUCAAAAGAGGCGAGACCAAACUCAAACUUGCCAGAAUCUGCUCGUUAAUGAUAAGAUGAGUAGGCGGUUAAUUAUGUAUAUAUUUUCUAAGUAAAGGCUUGAAGUCUCGGAGUCUUUUCGAGGUGAGACAAAAAGUCAAAUUUUUCAGAACCUGCUUGACCGAGCAAAGACAAGUAGGCCAUCAUGCAUUAAUAUAUUCUAAGGUAAGAAUAAUAUUUUUAAAUCAUAAAGCCUCCUCGAGGUAAGAUAAGUUUGACAGGACCUGCUCGUUAAUAAUAAGAUGAGUAGGCAAUUACUAACGAAAACAUUCUAAGACAAGUGUAAAUUGCGUAAGGCUCAAAGCCUCUUUGAGGCGAAAGCCAAUGUCAUCCAACAUAUGUUUAUUAGUGCUAAUCUGAGCAAAUAAUUAUUUGUGGGUCUUUAUAAAGACUAGGAAAUAUUCAUAACAUUGAAGAAAAAGAAGACAGUGUUUACAAAAAGUUAUUGAUUGAAAGAUAAACAUCUUAUUACAUUCAAGAUGGAGGGUCUAAGGGAGGAUCUGCUCUCAAUGAGUUGUCAUUAGUUGGAGGAGAAAGGGGAGUCUUGCCAGUUGCACCAAGAGGAGUGGUGGCCUUACUAACAGUAAUAUGAGGAAUGGCCUUAUUAGUUACAGCUGGGUCUCUUUGUUCUACAUCCUCUUUAGCUACCUGCUCAUUUAUACAUUUAGUCACACCAACAACCAACUCGACCAUCUUCAGGUUGGGGUAUUGCCUCUCAAGGACGACCAUAAUACACCGAUAAGAGUGUCUGAGCCCCUCCUUAUAAUUAUUGUCGACCUUCUUUCCCAGGGCUUCAAUCUAAUUCAGGUGGGCUCCUCAAAGAAACUCCAACUAAGAUUCAUAAAAGGCCUUAUGGGUCGCAAGCUCUUUCUUAAUACUAGCUAGUUCCUUCUUAAAUUCAACCGCCUUGGCUUCAGAGAGAGACAUUUGCUCCACGAGCUUUAAGUUCUCGAGAUUAAGCUCUCUUAAUCGUUUUUUGGCCGACUCUUUUUUUAGCAGCUUGAAUGCCAUCCUUAAUUUUUUUGUCAUAAUGGCCAACUUUUACUUUGUAAUAAGUGGCCAGGGAGCCUAGUUAGAAUACACCAAACCGAAGAGCUUAUACCAACUCCCCAAGUGUACGAUCGUCAAAAUCCUCAAGGUCUUUCUUCUUUAUGAGCCUGCAAAACUUAUUGAUAUAGGGGACCAGAUACUCUGGUCGCUCAUUGGGAGACUGAGAUUUCUGGCCAAUUGGAGGAGAAGAGGUGGCAGGACCUUUAUUGCUUGUAGCUCCAUUUAUUUCACCUGCCUUAGACAGAGGAGGUGAGAGAGCCUUCGAAAGGGAAUCUUUUUCUGUACUAUUGGGGCAUUUCUCUUAGGGAGUAUAUUUACUCGAACAUCCUUUGGCACCACCAGAAUAGGGGCGCUUUCUAUUCAAGGCUUCGAUCAUAAUGUCUUCCAUAUCGUGGGCGUCUAACACUAGAUGUAAGUCGACCAAGGUAUGAGUGCAAAACAGAUCUCUACAUAAGCAAGAAUUUGUUAAGGUGAUCUCAACCCUCUUCAACAAUUUGCUCUUGAUGUUAUAUGUCACGCUCAAAGAACCUGCAAUACAAACCAAGAUCGCGUUAAAAUGAUAUAAUUCAACUAAGCGGGUUAAGAAAAAAAGUCUUAAACUAAUAAGAAACCUGGAAUUGAGAAACGAGAAGGAAUAUAGACAUUCCCACCAUCCAUAGAUGCCACAUGACCCCAGUUACACCCAACAAAAAAGAACUUACUCUUCUAAUUUCCACCCCUAGUUGAGAGGUCGGUUAUAGGUUUUCUAGCCUUAGUACUUAACAUAAAGUAAUAUCAGUUUGCACCUUUUGGGCUGCUCUUUAGCUGGUACAUGUGUUUUAUUUCAUUAAAAGUGGGUUUACUUUGCCCAUAUCUGUUCCACAAGACCAACAGACAGAGAGCACUCUCCACCCAUUUACACUUAAUUGACUAGGGGCUAAAUGUAGCCUUCCAAGCACUCAAACAAAAUAAGGCUAUAAGGGGAGCCUCAUCCCUAGUUUAAAACAUUCUAGGAACAAGGUGUCAUAUCCCUUAAGAGGCGGCUUGGUGUAUCCUUUUUACAUCAUCAGGAAUGUUGUAAAUUUUUCUAAGCCUAUUUAAUUCAUCUAUAAUUGUGCUGCUUGCCAUUAAGUCAAUAAGGUAAUUUUCAACUAGAGCUCUACUACUUAACUUUCUUUUCUUCUCUGGUCUAACCUCAUCUGGUGAAGACUCUUUACCUUUAUCCUCAUCAGAGUCUCCCUCCUAAUAUUCACUUAAGGUCUGCUCUGUAUUAGAGGAGUCAUCGCUACUGUUUUCCACAGAUGAGGUCCAAGCCUCAAAAGACAUCCUUCUAGCACUAUCUCUAGCAUUAGUAUCACCUAUCAAAUUUAAAAGGACUCUCGGGUCGAAAAUGGGUUUCUUGAGUAAACUAGGCAAACACUCCAGUUCAUCAUCAUCAACCUCAAUUACUUAUUCUUUCCCCUUCAACAUCUUUUAAACAAACUCAGAACUAGAGCCAAAUAUCUUCAAACUCAAGCAAAAAUAAUAAAUACCUUAUGUUGAAGUACGAGAAACAAUACCUUAAGCGAGGAAAAGCCAGAAGCGAGGCAAUUUGUAUGACUUGAUCUCCGGCGAAAAGAAUUGGCUAUGUAACUGUUGGUUAAUUUUUAAUCAAAUGUUAUUGAUGCCAAUGUGCAAGUGUACACAAUAAGUAAUAAAGUGAUGAGUAUUCAAGAUCGUCUCCACAGGGAUUGAUGUUACCAGAAAUGCUACAGCAAUCACAAUAGUGCAAUCUACCUUUAUUUCGAGUGAACAAAUGUGAAGUUGCUUACUACCGAAAUUUAUAAUUGUGAGAAAAUAAAACGAAAUAAUGCAAUGAUGAAAUAAAGUAAAUAAAUUACGUAGAAGGAUCAAAUGAGAAUAAGGUAGUUGAAUGAUCAAACUCUCUUUAUGGGUUGACUGCUUUUCAUCAAAUUAACACCAGUUUCUACAGUACUGUCCAUAGCACUGGGCAGAAUUACUUUGCAUCCUCAGCUGUUGCGUGUUGGAAUUCUCAUACCUUUAAGUAUCUUAGCAAUGACCAGUUGCUAUUCUACCUUCGGCAUGGCAUUACGAACAUCUAUUCUCUCCACCCUACAAGGUGAGUACCUAUGUCUAGUUUGUCACAAAUCUUAACUUCAAGUAUGUCCCUUAUGAGAUUCAAGAUAAACUUAAUACAGGAAACUUGAAUUAAAAUCAAGUAUUACUCUAAUAAUAUCCAUUAAGACAUGCCCUUUUGCGGCUCUAUCUUAACUUGAACCAUUAAAUGGGUGAUCAACCGAAAUAACAGUUAUAAUAAUAGCUACUAAAGUAAAAUAUUAUAGCAAUUAUAUAGCAACUCAUAAGAACAGUCAAGAACCCAUUAGAUUGUUUGUCACUCAACUACAAGUAAGUUUAGUUCAUAUUUUGAAAGAGAAAAAACAAACAGCAACAUAUUAGUCACGAAAUACAUUGGUUCAAUCAAAGAGUGAAGAAAAGAAUAAGUGGAGAACGACAAAAAGUGAAUCCAAAUAACUCUGAUGGAUUCUUCAAUGAUGCAGCAUCGGUUCCCUUGAAUUUUGAUAUUCUUCUUCUUUUUCUCUUGAUUUUCUCAAUGUUAAUUCCUUGUCGCCGUUUUAUGUGAUACGCGCCCCUUUUUAUAACUGAAAACUAGGGUAAACAAAAGCUUAGGGCGUACAUGAGUCAAAUUAGGAAACUGCAGAUUGUAAUUCUGCAGCUAUCUCGCGCUAAGUUUUCUCCCUCAUUGUUUCAGGAUUGCUACAGCAAUGGUUGCUCCAGCAACGGCUAUAACACUGCACUGUUCCAGGUUGUGUUUCACUUCUUUUGUGGCCAUAUUCUUUCUCCUUCUUGCUAGCCUAAUGCUUCAACAUCCCUUCAUGGAUUAUAAACUUCUGAAAACCUACAAUUAUGCACAUGUUUCAAACACAAAUUACUUUAAAUUAAGCAAAACUUAUUAAGACUAAAUUAAAAUGGAUGUUUAUGUAAAACAUAAACAAAAUGUAAUAAAAACAUAUCAUUUAUUCUCUAAAUGGUCUUUAUUUAAGUCUAGAAUUACCAUAAUAACUCUCAUUUCAUAGAGUUAUCAGUAACCAAUAAAAGUAUAUGGAAACAAAGAGAGAAAGAACGAUUUAAGAAAUUAGGGAUUUUAGAGAUAUGAAAAGCUUUUGCCACCACAUGAUUUAAGAACGCGUGCCUUGAGGGUGCCAUAACAGCCUGUUUGAAAUAUAAAUGGUUAGUCUGAAUGCGUGCCACGUCACAUGCAUUUAAAAACAAUGUGACUCCUCGAAUGAAUGGACACCAUCAACCCAUGAAAGCAAAAAAUGCUUUUGGCAGCCUCCUGCUAUAGAGUCGAGCAGCCAGGAAAGCAGGUCGAAAGGAUACAUAUUAAGUUUCUAGUUUUGAUUCGUUUAACUCUCAACAUUAGAAACUAAGGGACUGAUGUUUAAGGAAGAAAAAACACCGUGACUAAGAUAGCGCGAGCAAAACAUGCUCCCCUAGGCUUAAGGGGAGGCUGAGGCGGAUCGCACGAGUACAACAGGCCUGAGAGUGUGCGAGGAGGGGACAAAAUUGAGUCAGAUCAAAGACUUGGUCAAAGGUCAACAUGCGGAUUACCUCCAAAGAGCUUAAGCACAAAGCCCACUCAACAAUCGUUACUAACAUGUAGGUUAUCUCCAAGGGGCUCUAACACGAAACCCACUCAACGACAAUUAUGUUGUUUAUUUACCCAUGAUUGUAUUACUAAGCCAACAAUGAUCGUGGGGAAGAGGAAGCCGGUAAUUUUAGUUGGGUAUAAAAGCUAUAAACGAAAGUAAAGGGGGUCAGACGAUUUCUGACUGGACUUAAAAAUACUUUCUCUUUCUCUCGCCCUCUUGAUAAUUCUAUACUAUUUCUAUCUUUCUCUCUGAAAAUUUAGCUUCUCAAUUUAAAGUAAAUAUAGUUAAGCCACGAGUUUGUGGCACAAGUCUUUCCAAAAGAGGCCCGAUUACUGACUUGAGCAUCAGAAGGUUUUCGCUGGAAAAACAUUCAGCGCCCCUCUAACUGGAUAUUGUGAGUCCAGGUUAUCCAUAGUGAGUUUGUGGUCGACAUUAUCUAUUCGAGUGGGAUAGCAGCAAUGCUGAGUCAUUUCCCUAACAAACCAAAUUUAAAUGUUGACGUGGACACCAGGUUGCAACUCUAUUGACCAUAUUCUUGCAUUAACACUCAUGUUCAUCAUCAUGUUCAUCCACGCUUGUAGAACUUCCACCAAAACAUAAACGAGCUUUAGAAAACAUAUUUUGACAACACACAAAAGUUAAGGCACCUAAAUUUUUAAUACCAAAUAAUUACUAAUUCAAAUGCUUAAAAAUACAGACAAGUAAAAAAGUGAAACUCACUAAGGCAUGUUUUUGACAGCGCAUGCAAACUGAGACUCCGCUAAGAGUGUGUCGACAAAGGAUAAGGAAGUGCAGGGAGAAGAAGAUGAUGAUGAUGAUGAAAAAGAACGAACUGAAACUUUUAUGAGACCGAAAGAGGAUGUUGUUGAUUGGGUUCUGGGUUUUUGUUUUAUGAGUGGAAAUAGGUUAUGUACUUUAAAUUAAGCAAAACUUAUUAAGACUAAAUUAAAAUGGAUGUUUAUGUAAAACAUAAACAAAAUGUAAUAAAAACAUAUCAUUUAUUCUCUAAAUGGUCUUUAUUUAAGUCUAGAAUUACCAUAAUAACUCUCAUUUCAUAGAGUUAUCAGUAACCAAUAAAAGUAUAUGGAAACAAAGAGAGAAAGAACGAUUUAAGAAAUUAGGGAUUUUAGAGAUAUGAAAAGCUUUUGCCACCACAUGAUUUAAGAACGCGUGCCUUGAGGGUGCCAUAACAGCCUGUUUGAAAUAUAAAUGGUUAGUCUGAAUGCGUGCCACGUCACAUGCAUUUAAAAACAAUGUGACUCCUCGAAUGAAUGGACACCAUCAACCCAUGAAAGCAAAAAAUGCUUUUGGCAGCCUCCUGCUAUAGAGUCGAGCAGCCAGGAAAGCAGGUCGAAAGGAUACAUAUUAAGUUUCUAGUUUUGAUUCGUUUAACUCUCAACAUUAGAAACUAAGGGACUGAUGUUUAAGGAAGAAAAAACACCGUGACUAAGAUAGCGCGAGCAAAACAUGCUCCCCUAGGCUUAAGGGGAGGCUGAGGCGGAUCGCACGAGUACAACAGGCCUGAGAGUGUGCGAGGAGGGGACAAAAUUGAGUCAGAUCAAAGACUUGGUCAAAGGUCAACAUGCGGAUUACCUCCAAAGAGCUUAAGCACAAAGCCCACUCAACAAUCGUUACUAACAUGUAGGUUAUCUCCAAGGGGCUCUAACACGAAACCCACUCAACGACAAUUAUGUUGUUUAUUUACCCAUGAUUGUAUUACUAAGCCAACAAUGAUCGUGGGGAAGAGGAAGCCGGUAAUUUUAGUUGGGUAUAAAAGCUAUAAACGAAAGUAAAGGGGGUCAGACGAUUUCUGACUGGACUUAAAAAUACUUUCUCUUUCUCUCGCCCUCUUGAUAAUUCUAUACUAUUUCUAUCUUUCUCUCUGAAAAUUUAGCUUCUCAAUUUAAAGUAAAUAUAGUUAAGCCACGAGUUUGUGGCACAAGUCUUUCCAAAAGAGGCCCGAUUACUGACUUGAGCAUCAGAAGGUUUUCGCUGGAAAAACAUUCAGCGCCCCUCUAACUGGAUAUUGUGAGUCCAGGUUAUCCAUAGUGAGUUUGUGGUCGACAUUAUCUAUUCGAGUGGGAUAGCAGCAAUGCUGAGUCAUUUCCCUAACAAACCAAAUUUAAAUGUUGACGUGGACACCAGGUUGCAACUCUAUUGACCAUAUUCUUGCAUUAACACUCAUGUUCAUCAUCAUGUUCAUCCACGCUUGUAGAACUUCCACCAAAACAUAAACGAGCUUUAGAAAACAUAUUUUGACAACACACAAAAGUUAAGGCACCUAAAUUUUUAAUACCAAAUAAUUACUAAUUCAAAUGCUUAAAAAUACAGACAAGUAAAAAAGUGAAACUCACUAAGGCAUGUUUUUGACAGCGCAUGCAAACUGAGACUCCGCUAAGAGUGUGUCGACAAAGGAUAAGGAAGUGCAGGGAGAAGAAGAUGAUGAUGAUGAUGAAAAAGAACGAACUGAAACUUUUAUGAGACCGAAAGAGGAUGUUGUUGAUUGGGUUCUGGGUUUUUGUUUUAUGAGUGGAAAUAGGUUAUGUUGGUGGGUUAGCUGUUUGUACGGAAGACGUUUGAAGAAAUAACCCAAUGAGAAGAACUACAUUGCUACUCUGCUUUACUCAUAUAGUUGUUUAUAUAAGGGUGGGUCUUCGACUCACAGAGGACUUAAAUAAUUUAUUUUCUAUCGCAAUUUAUUUCCCUCCCUUCUGAGUAGGAAUAAAUAUCUGGAGUAAACAUUUCGUCACUAAUCAAUGUUGAUCUGCAAGCUCUCUAAACUAUUAUAACAAUUCAAGAAAACUAUAAUUAUAUAUUAACAUAAAGUGGCAAGUCAAUUGGAUUGGAUUGGAUUGGAUCUAAUAAUUCAAUAUUGUUUCACCUUCACACACAUUGAUAAGAGCUAUUGGCACCCUCUAAAACUUUCAUAGAACUGUGCCCCGAAAAAGAAUAGAGUGGAGUUAUUGGCACCUCUAAAAGAAUUCUUGUAUCUUAAAUUUACAUUUUAACUUUAAUCAAAUCAUGUUUGACAAUUCAUCUCUCUUCCUCUAGCCUUACAUGGGUUUUAUUUUUAUUAAAUAAAAAAUACUUUUGUUGUUAUAGUGAAAUGUUUUUAUUUUUAUUUUUAUUCUUAAAUUAGUGGUUUCUGUUGGACUGAAAUUUUUAGUUCAUUAUUUUCAAAUUAUGAAAGGCUUAUUUUCUUUUACCAUUAUAGCUCUUGAUUUCAUUGAUUUAUGUGUCCAUAUAAAAGCACGUAGAAUUGUCACAUUCAGAGCAUUAGAUGAUAUUGGAUUAGCUUCUAUCAAUCUUUUUUAAUCUAAAAGAAAUAUUUCUUUAUUCUUUUUUCUCUCUCUCGUACUGAAGUUAGUGAGAACAUUUGUUGAAUUAAAAUAGCUCCGCUCAAGAGAAUAGCCUAGAGUAUUUCCUAUCUAGUUUUUAGAUUCUAUUUUCUACUGGUUUAACUUACUUCAUAGAAAUAGUUUGAUAUCUUUUCCCAUGGAAUGAUAAAAUAAAGUAAUAAUAUGAAUUCUAUCUUAUGAGAAUCAUAUAUACAUAUAAGAAUAAGAAUAAAAAGCUGGAAAAAGAAGUUCAAAGAAUUCUAAACUAAAAAGUUGAUUCUCAUGGACAGAAAAGGGCUUUUAAUUAAAUUGGAGAAAAAUUUUUGUAAUAAAAGAAUUUCGUUUUCAUAUGAUUUCUCAAGAAAAAAAAGAGUAUAUAAGGUUAUUUAUGAAAUUAACAUAGGUGUUGUUAAAAGUAAUGUGAUUUACAUAUGUUUUUAAUAGUCAUUUAGAAGAGAGGUUUUAUGAGGAGUUUAAAGUGGUGCUAAUAGUUUCACUUAUUAACAAAUGGGUCAAAAAGAACAUCCAAAAGAUACUUGUAAUGAAACAAAAAAUAAUUAAUUAUAUUUUACAACUCAAAAUACGCUAGAAGAUCUUUAAUAUUUCUUAGUUUACUCUAUGUUACUAUAAGUACAUAAAAUGUUUGGCUGAUAAAAUGGGGCAACUAGAAUCAAGCUUUCCUUGAAGCUUCCUUAUGCUUGCCUUGUCACUUAAAACAGCCUGAAGGAAAUUUGGCGAGGAGGCAGUUGAAACUGCGAACAAACCUAGUCAAAACAACCUUUCCACCUCAUCUGGAAACCCAGGGACUUAGUUUUAUCCACAAAACCCACAACUCCAUGAUCCUAAAGAGUAAAUAAAAUGACUCAUAUCCAAAUAACUCAUAAUCCUAGAAUUUAGGGGAGAUGAAGGAGGAGCCCUAUCCAAAAACCCACUUCACUGAGAUCCAAGGAAGAGAGAUUUUCAACUCCUAUAAAAUUCCCAAAGGGCAAAAGGAUAAAGGUCCAUAAUUUGAAUACCCUGGACCCUUGUUUAAUUUGGAAAUUCAAAGAUUUAUCUUUGAUUUUCUUUACCCCUUUUAUUUUUUUAUCAUCAUCCCUCUGUAUCAUCAUCUUUUCUUAUUUAAGGGAGAGUUUCUUCUAACUUUUCUCUUUUUGAUUCACUUUGAUUGAUUUAUUUUAGGUAGAUAUUCAUAUACUCGGUUAUCCCACAAAAAUCCAUGAUACUGACUUGAGCAAGGUUAACGCUGAAAAACCUUUUGGCACCCCAGACCAUUCUUUUUAUUGCAAGUACUCUCCAGGACAACACCAUGCUUGCCAAUUCCUGCUCAGACUUGUCGAAUUCUUGGUUGCCAACUUUCGUUCAAGUUACUAAAUUGAGGUUAGAAAUUGUCUGUCCACAUGAACAAAUUCAAAUGCUAGCGUUGGAAUCUGGUAGGUAGCCCACACGCUGACACAACUAGAUUUUGGGGUCAACAUAUAACAAAAUAAAAUUUAUUGAUUGGUGCCUUAUACUUGAUAUAAAUAAAGUAGAAAAUCUUCCACCUCAUAAAAUAUAUGGUAUAUGACAAAGUUACAUCUAAUUUUCUGCAUGCAUAUGGAAAAAAAUUAAUUAUUUAAAUUUCUAAUUUAUCACAUUGAGGUUUGAUUUCUGAAUUUUUCAGUUGUCAAAUGGAUUAAAUUUUCCCCUAUAAACAUUGUCUACAGAAACUCAUGAAUCUAAAUAAACCAAACCAAUAUUGUUUGGGGAAUGAAAUAAUGUGACCCCGAUAAGGUGUUUGCUCAGACGUUAUUGUACUCUCCUCAAAGUAAAAAGUGAGCAAAUAGUCGAUAGGCUAGCAGGAGAAAAUUCUAGUGACCUUGAGCACCUUGACCAGGUGGUUAUUUUGAUGACCUCGAGUAGAUUACCUCGACCAUGAUGUUAUUUUGUGACUUCGAACAUAUUACCUCGACCAGGAAGUUAUUUGAUGACUUAAGCACAUCAUCUUGACUAGAAGAUGAGUCUGGUGACCUUGAGUACGUCACCUGGACCAGAAGGCAAUUCUAAUUACCUCGACCAGAUAGGUUUUGAAGAGACAUUGGACUAAGUCACCAAGAAGCAAGACAAAGUCAAAACUUCUCUGAAAUACUAGGGACCAUAUUCUUAGUGGGCUGAAAAUUAGUGGUCUUCCUUAGAAUUCUAGAAAGAGGAUUCAGCCAAGUGGAUAACAUCCAGUCUGGGGAUUGGUACUUGGUUUUAUUUUUUCAAGCUUUUGAUCUCUGCUUUUUUUAAAUAGAAAUUAUUUAUUUUGAUUCUAGUAAACCAAUAAACUGACUUGAGCAUUGAAGGGUUCACAUCGAAAAAACUUCCAAUGCCUCUUACCAUCUUCUGUGAUUUUAGGUGUUCGCAGGUUAUUUAUGAGUGGUCGCAGGGCAUUCUUGACAAUUGGCAAGCCGUUUAACCACCAAAUAAAUUUAAUGCUGAUGCAAGGAUCAGUUUUGAGUCACUAACCAACUCAACCAGAUUUGGGCAUCAACAUACUUUAUUAAUAUUUUUAUCCUCAGACUCUCGGUUUUGCACUUCUGCUUACUAAUACAUUAUGGAACUUAUAUCCACAUUUUUCAUCACUCUUUUGCUGGCCUCAUGUUUGUUCCUUAAUCUUCUCUUCCUCAUCUUUUCACAUCAAUGCAUGCAUAAUUAAUUAUAAUAUGAAGGUAUUAGCAUUAAGCUAAUUAAUUGUUUGGCAUUUAUAUAUACAGGUGUGUUGUUUUAUAUUUCCAUGCCGGUGCUCAACUGGAAUCAAAAGUAGUCACAUGUAAAAGCAAUGCUGACUAUGACAAUUGCAAAAUUCGUUUGAAUGUGAUCUUGAUACCCAGGGGCGGAUUUAUUAUAAGACCAUUGGGGACUUAAGUCCCCACUAGAAAAAAAAAUCUUUUAAUAAUUAAUUUAGUUUGCCUAAAAUUCCCAACAAAUUUCUCUCAAGCCCCCACUAAUUUAUAAUCAAGCCCGCAAUACAUAGUUACAGUUAAAUUCUCACACUCUAGAUUUUUAAGUUCAAAUCAAAAGAGAUGGGCUUUGCAAACUAAAAAAUAAGCCCAUAAAUAUUAAUAUUAAUUUAAUUUUUAGACAGCCCACAAACUCAUUACUAAUUUUUUAUUAAUCUUACAUUUUCCAAUUUCACCACUAGUCCAACACCCAUAAAAAAUCCCUAAACAUCUUUUUAUGUUGGUUUUAUGUCAAUUGUUUACAUAGAAAAAGACUUAUUUAAUAAUAUUGAUAAUGAAGUUCUAAUGCAAUGUAUCAAUGUAUGACAACUCGUAAAGGACAAUUGUAAACAUAUGCUGAAGUAUUAUAAAUCUUUCAAAUAUAUAUCUUUAUUACUUUUUGAAUUUUUUUAUUUUGUCAUUGAAUAAGCCCCCCAGUCAAUCAAUAUGUUGUCUCCGCCCUUGUUGAUACCCAUCUCUGUGUUUGUGUUCCUGGCUAAAAUUCGACGUGUUGUUGAAGAAAUUAAAGCUUGUAUUGCAAGUUCUAGUGAUAUUUUGGAUGCUGAAUUGCAAAAUUUGUAAUGUUUCUUGCAAUCUUUGUUUUAUUUCUUACAUUAUACUCUCUCCGGAUAUGCAUAUUAAAAUUGUGUACAAAUAUUUACAAACCAUCUCCAUGUGAUUGGUUCUAUAUAAUGUCGUGCUAUACAUUUGGAGAAGUCUCUAGGACUUGGAAUUAGGGAUGGCAAAACGCUGCGUUUUUUUAGCCAAGCCAAGAGCCUGAAGUUUACAUUCUAUAUUUUCUAAAAACUUUUUUUAUUAUAUUUUGUAAAUUUAUAGUGUAUAAAAUUUAGUUUUGUUUUGGUUAGAUUAGCCUUUAAAAGUUGGACUUGAAUGAUUUAAAAUUUUAAAUAUAUGUAAGUGGAUUAAAUAUAUGUUAAUAGUUCUAUUUUAAUUAAAAUAUAUAAUAUAUAUAUUUAAAAUUUUUAAGUAGCUUUUGGGCUUUUGAGUUGGACUCAGGUUUUUUUUACAAAGCUCGAGUGCAGCCACAAUACUUAGAAAACAUGCUCUAGUUGGAUUGGAUUUUUCAGCCAUUCCUACUUGGAAUUCGAUUAUCAUUGAUUUCAUUAAUUGAUUGUUAUUUUUUUAACAUUAAGGACUCAAAUGAAAAUAAUUAUAAAUAGUGUCUUAAGAUAUUAAUCUUUUCAAAAAGACGAGGGUUCAUAUAUUACGGAUACUUGAAUCGAAGAAUGAUACAAUGGUGACCAAACAACUGUAAAAUCAUAUAAUGUUAUAGUGUUAAAUAAAAAAAUUAUAACUAUUUUUCAAUCAACAUUGUAACACUACACAAUUUACAAUUAUUUUUGUCACCCUUAUGUCUCUGUUAGAACUCUAUCAUUUUUCAUUUCCUAAAAACAACGUGCUUAAAAUAUCCCCAAAUUUCUGUGGGAUAUGUAUAUACUUUUAAAAUGAAGAUCUAAUAAAUAUAAAAUUUUACAAACGAUCUAGUACUUUCUGUAAAUUUCAUUGAAGAGAUAACAUACCAUCGUACAUGAUUAAUCAUGUAUAUUCAUUUGAGUAAUUUUACAUUUAUAACCUUGGGAUACAAAUUUUGUUUGUGAUAUACAUGCAAGUCUCGUAAUGUAUAAUUCGUCAUCGAGGAUUUAACACAUCAACAACGGCUGAUGCUUGUAAUUAUUCUUCUGUAUCUUCAGGAUUUAAGAAGAGGGUCAUAGUGGGUCUAGAUAAUAGAAUUGAGGAGUUGAUAGAUUUAUUCAUCGAGGUACCACCUCAACUUUUAGUAGUGGCCAUACUUGAUAGCGUAAAAUCAAGUUUGUAUCAGGCCAUUGAUUCUUCUCUAGGGAGGAGGAGGGAGCAGAUGAACAAGAAACCCCCGUGUAAUGGGUUGAGAGGAUUAGAUGGAGAUGCUGUUAAACUAAGGUAUGAGGCAGAGAAGCAAGUUGUGGAACCCAAUUAGGGUGAAGACUCUCAAAAAGCAAACACGAUGAUUAGCAGUAUGUCUUUGCCUCGGCUCAUAGUGCUAACUACUUCAACUUUGUCUGUUACUUGGAAACUUUGGUGCCUUCCAUGACAUUCAUCUUGUGGCAGCAAGGUCAAAGAUUCUAUUGCUUUUGGUUUCAAUGAACAGAGCUAGCAUACCAGACGGGGUUAGCAUUUUAUUAAUUGCAAGUGGUAGCAUAUUUAUUCAUUAGCGUCACCUUCCCCUCAUCUUCUCCAACCUUGCUGCAAGUGGUAGCAUAUUUAUUCAUUACCUACAUUGAUAAAGUUUUUAAAAUUUUCCUUUUCACGAGAAAUAGUCAUGGAAAAACUUGUGCAUGAUAGAGUAGCCAGUGACUAACUCCAUGAAAUAAUUAUAAAAUCAUUAUUUGUCUUUAAUUUUCAUCAUACUCAUUAAAAAAGUAUUAUGAUUACAUAGUCAGUGUUUUAUAUUCACAGAUGACAAAAGUAACGAAGUACUGCCAUUUUGGAUUUAAUUGCAAGUUGUAUAAUUUAUUAUGCUCCAAGUCCAUAUCACAUAAACCAAUACCCAAUCUCUUUUCUACAACUACUUCCCUAUUGUACAUAUUAUCAAAAUUCUAUAAUAAAACAUCAUUUAUGUAUAGGAGAAAUUAUUGACUAAACUAGCAUGCUCACACUACUUGAGUGCUGAGAGAAAGAGUUGCGUCGGUCAACCUACGACCAAUUCCAUUCAUCAACAAUAAAUGUUUCAGCGGACACAUAAAUAUUUGAAUUAAGAGCUAAGAAGUUUUAACAAUGGUUUUUUUUUUUUUUGCAUGCCAGCAAGUGGCAGACAUGAUUUUGCAUUUUUCCACAGCUUAAUUAUUAAAUAAUUGAUAACGCUCGUGCUUGCUCCGUUCUUUUCUUUUCAGACAAGCUUUUAUAGUCCCAGUGGAAUUGUUUUUACCCUUCCUUUCUUAAAAGUGAUGUAUAAAACAAAUUGGUCUUGAUCGAUACUUGACGAUGUCAUGUUUAUUUUUCUCUGCUUUACGCUUUUUACAACAUAUGGAAGACAAAAGUGUUGUAAGAUUCUGCCUUGAUAUGUUCUAAUUUGAGAGUCAACGAUCUUGAUUCAACUUCUUGACUAGAGAGCUAGCUAAGAGAAGGGAGGUAUGCGAGCCAGCACUAAUGUUUGAAUUGAGAGGUUUAAAGCAUAUUUUCCUUUUCCCCUCUCUCUUUUAAUUAUUUCUUUGCAUGCUACAGGACUGAUUUCACGGUGACUGAGGGAGGAGGAGAUAUGGACAUCAACUUCAGACUAUUUUCAGAGAGGCUGAGGAGGGUGUUAGUGUUACGGAAAUGCGGGUUGAGCAAUUACUAAUACUGUGACUUCUGGAGAAAUAUAAAUAUGGUGAUAAACAAAUGCAAAGAAAAUAUAACACAAUGAUUUACGUGGCUCGGUGUAAUGCCUAUGUCCACGGGUAAAGACUGAAAGAUAAUUUUACUAACAAUAGAAAUUUUCAAAAGUGGAAAAAAUUCACAAAACGCACAACCCCAAUACACCCAAAUGGAACCUCACUAGAACACUCAAGUGGAAGCUCUCUCAAAUUCUCUCAAAGAACUUACUUGCAAUUGCUCUCUACUUCUCUCAAAUUGGGAUGCGUUACAAAUGAACAAUGGCCCUUCUAUUUAUAGGAAUCGUAGCUCACCUACCACUUUCAAUUUGGCUACAACUUGCCAAAUUGACAAAUUGAAUUUAGAAUGGAAAAUCAAUUUGGUGGGCAACAAAAUCAACAAUUUUGAAAAAAUCAAUUGGCUUCUAGAAAACCAUCACAUUUUUCCUCCAUGCAACUUCAACAAAAUCGUGUUGAAAUUGGCAAGCCCACCAACUUUGUCUUUUGAAAUUUGCAAGCCAUUCUUUGACUUUUCAACAAUUCUCCACCUCGGCGAAGAUUUAUUCAAUUCUGAGCCGAAUACUAAACUCCCAGUACAUCAAAUCAUCCUUCAAUCUUUGCCUUCUUCGACUGCUUUCAAACUUGUAGGAUAUUGAUUAAGUUUAGACAAUACUCAAACUUGAUCGUCGUCACUAACUUGGUCAACAUAUCUGCGGGAUUAUCUGCAGUCUUAAUUUUCUGAAGAAGAAUCUUCCCCUCAUCAACAAUUUCCCGCACAAAGUGAAAUCGUACAUCGAUGUGCUUCGUACGCACAUGAUAAACUUGGUUUUUUGUUAAAUGAAUAGCACUCUGACUAUCGUAAUACACAUUAAUGUGCUCCUGUGCCAAUCCCAAGUUUUCAAGCAAGCCUUGUAACCAAAUAGCCUCUUUAACAGCCUCUGUAAUUGCCAUGUACUCGGCCUCUGUGGUCGAGAGUGCAACUGUAGACUGUAGUGUAGACUUCUAACUAAUUGGCCCUCCAGCAAAAGUAAAUACAUAUCCGAUGGUUGACCGUCGUUUGUCCAAAUCACCAGCAUAAUCAGAAUCAACGUACCCGAUCACACCUUGACCAAGUGUAUCGUCUCUCUUAAACAGUAAACCAACAUCCACGGUCUUCUGAAUACGGAACUUGUAACAUGUAUUCUCGUUCUGCAUCUGUCAAAGGAGAUAGUUGUGCAAAAAGCUUGAAAUGAGAAGCUAAUGGGGUACUCACAAGUUUUGUCUGUUCAGUCAUGCCAAACUAUUGUAGUACUUUCUUCAAAUAUUGCUUCUGAGACAAGCUUACUUUGCCACGAGCUCUAUCUCUGCAUAUCUCCAUGUUAAGAAUCUUCUUAGCUUCACCUAGAUCUUUCAUUUCAAAUUCUUGAUCGAGUUGAGUCUUCAACUUCUCGAUCUCAUCUUUGCUCUUCGAUGCUAUUAGCAUAUCAUCGACAUACAAUAGCAAAUAAAUGAAAGAUCCUUCUUGUAGCUUGCGAAAAUACACACAAUGAUCAAAUUUAUUUCUUAUGUACCUUUGCCCUUUCAUAAAUCGAUCAAAUCGCUUGUACCACUGCCUCGGAGAUUGUUUCAACCCAUAAAGCGACUUUGUCAAUUUGCAAACCCAAUUUUCUUUUCCAGCAACCUUGAAUCCAUCUGGCUGAGUAAUGUAUAUUUCCUCUUCUAAAUCACCAUGUAAAAAUGCAAUUUUUACAUCAAGUUGAACUAGUUCAAGAUCAAAUUGUGCAACCAUGGCUAGCAAAAUUCGAAUAAACGAGUGUUUCACAACUGGAGAAAAUACCACAUUAUAGUCUAUUCCUUCCUUCUGAGCGUAACCCUUUGCUACCAAUCUAGCCUUGUAUCGAAUUUAAUUUUUACGAGGAAAUCCUUCCUUUUUUUGCAUAUACCCAUUUGCACCCAAUCGCCUUUUUUUCCUUGGGCAGUGUAACUAACUCCCAAGUUUCAUUUUUGUGAAGAGAUUGCAUUUCUUCGUUCAUUGCUUUCUUCCACUGUAUAUUUUCUGGGUUACUUACUGCUUCUCUAUAAGUGGAAGGAACAUCAUCAUCUACAAUUGGAAGUGCAUAGGCCACCAUAUCAACAAAGCGAGCAGGUCUGUGAAUCUCUCUGCGUGGCCUUCUAUAUGCAAUUGAAUCUUGUUGUUGUGAAGGUUCCUGGGUCAGAACCUCUUCAUCAUCAUUAGUCGAUGGAUAAUCAUUAUCCAUCUCAUCGACACCAGCUGGAUCAGUUUUAACUUUUUCAAACUCCACCUACUGCAAAGUGCUACUGGUCUUGUCAUCCUCUUAAGAAUCUUUUUGUUUCAACAUGGCUGAUUCAUCAAAAGUUACAUCUCUACUGAAAAUAAUCUUCUUCGUAAUAGGACACUAGAGACGGUAUCCUUUUACUCCACCAGUUAUACCCAUGAACAAUGCUUUCUUUGCUCUUGGGUCUAACUUAGAUUCCUUUACAUGAUAAUAAGCAGUGGAACCAAAAACAUGUAAAGAAUCAUAAUCAGUAGCAGGUUUACCAGUCCACAUCUCCAUGGGUGUUCUGCCCUCAAUUGCAGUUGAUGGCAAACGGUUGAUCAGAUGGCACGCAUAUACAACUGCCUCAGCCCAAAACUCUUUGCCCAAUCCAGCAUUGGACAACAUACACCGAACUUUCUCCAGUAUAGUCCAGUUCAUGCAUUCUGCCACACCAUUCUGUUGUGGUGUAUCUCGAACAAUGAAGUGUCGCACAAUACCCUCAUCUUGGCAUAUUUGAAUAAAUGGAUCAUUCUUGUACUCACCACCAUUGUCUGAGCGAAAUCUUUUGACCUUUCAACCAGUUUGAGUCUCAACAAUUUUUUUCCAUUUCAGAAAUAUGCCCAAAACUUCAUUCUUAUUUUUCAUCAAAUACACCCACACUUUUCUUAAAUAAUCAUCAACAAAAGUAACAAAAUAGUGCAUACCUCCCAAAGAAGUUGUUUUGUUAGGUCCCCACACAUCACUGUGAACAUAGUCCAGAAUUCCUUUAUAUCGUGAAUUGCUGAACCAAACUUUACCCUUGUCUGCUUGCCCAGAACACAAUGUUCACAAAAUUCUAAUUUGCAAGAAUUUGUACCUUUCAAUAAGCCUUGCUUUACCAAAGUUUGCAAAGUUUUUUCACCAGCAUGUCCCAAACGCAUAUGCCACAACUUGGUUGCUUCUGAAUCUACAUCUUUUCUAUAAACUGUUGAUGCUGAUCCAAUAAUUGUAUUUCCUUGGAAAUAGUACAAGUUAUUUCUUCUUGUGCCUUUCAUCACCGUCAGUGCCCCAACUACUACCUUCAACAAUCCAUCUCUCAAAGUGAUUGUGAGCCCUUUAGAUUCUAGGACUCCUAAUGAGAUGAGAUUUUUCUUCAAGCUUGAUACAUAGCGAACAUCCGUCAAGACUUGGAUUGAGUCAUCAUGAUUCUUUAAUUGGAUUGUACAUAUUCUCAUGGUUUUACAAGCAUUGUCAUUGCCCAUAAAAACAACUCCACCGUCUAGCUCCUUGAAGCUAGAAAACUAGCCCUUGUUAGGACACAUAUGAUAAGUACAACCCAAAUCCAAAAUCCACUCAUCUGAGUGACAUAUCAAUGUCAUGUCAACCAGACUAAAGUCUGACUCCUCAUCAUGUUCUGCUACACAUGCAUCAGAAGUAGUUUUGCCCUUUUGUAACUUAGGACAAUUCUUUUUCCAAUGCCCUUUCUCACGACAAAAAGCACAUUCAUCUUUGGCAGGUUUCCCUUUAGACUUGCUCAUUUUUUCUAGUUUUACGGCUUUGCGAACGACCUCUCGUUGUCAAUACUUCUACUACUGUAUCUCUGUGAUCCUUUCUGUCUUUUUUCCUGGUCUCAGAGUUGUACAAUGCACUGCAUAUAGCAUCGAAUGUAACACUGUCCUUCCCAUGAAGCAAAGUAGUGGUGAGAUGAUCAUAUUCAUCAGGAAGGGAAUUGAACAACAAUAGUGCCUUAUCUUCAUCUUCAAAUUGCUCAUCCAAAUUUAGCAAAUCUGCUAAUAUUUUGUUAAAUGAGUUCACAUGGUCAUUCAUUGACAUGCUAGGUGUAUAUGUGAAACGAUAAAGUUUCUUUUUCAUAAAAAGUCUAUUUUCAAGGCUUUUCUUCAUAUACUUUUCUUCCAGUGUCUCCCACAAUUUUUUUGCCGAUAUCUCCCUCAUGACAGAAUAUUUCUGAUCUUUAGCCAAACAUAGGCGAAUAGUACCACAUGUCUGUCUGUUGAUCUUUAUCCACUCCUUGUCAUCCAUCAUGUCAGGCUUUUCUUCAAGAGCAACGUCCAACUCUUGCUGACAUAAGACAUCCAACACCUCACAUUGCCACAUACCAAAAUUAUUGGUACCAUCGAAUUUCUCCACUUCAAACUUUGCAUUAGUCACAGUAGUCCUCGUUGAUGAAGACGACGACGAUGCCUCUGCCAUUCUUUUUAUCUCAAAUGAUCAGUUUCUUCAACAACUAUUUACACUUAAAAAAACAGCCUCUAUGAUGUUUAUUUCGUAUGAAUAAAUGCACCAGGAAAGUUCUCAGGAGACUAGACGGGAACUCGGUCCCAAUUAAAAACCAGAAUCCUUAGACUCUUAUUGCCUUGUUCAUAGAACUUUCCUAGACAUGCAAAAAUACACACUACUUAAAAUAGACUGUCUCCCAAGUAUAAAUGGCUGUCUCCACCGUAUUUGUGAACAGUACUGUAUAUGUGAAUAGUACUAUAUACGUGAACAGUACCGUAUCCCCCCAAGUACGAGCUGUCGGCUUUGAUACCACUUGUUACGAAAACGCGGGUUGAGCAAUUACUAAUACUGCGACUUCUGGAGAAAUAUAAAUGUGGUGAUAAACAAAUGCAAAGAAAAUAUAACACAAUGAUUUACGUGGUUCAGCGCAAUGCCUACGUCUACGAGCAAAGACUGAAAGAUCAUUUUACUAACAAUGGAAAUUUACAAAAGUGAAAAAAACUCACAAAAACCACAACCCCAAUACACCCAAAUGGAACCUCACUAGAACACUCAAGUGGAAGCUCUCUCAAAUUCUCUCAAAGAACUCACUUGCAAUUGCUCUCUACUUCUCUCAAAUUGGGAUGCAUUACAAAUGAACAAUGGCCCUUCUAUUUAUAGGAACCGUAGCUCACCUACCACUUUCAAUUUGGCUACAACUUGCCAAAUUGACAAAUUGAAUUAGAAUGGAAAAUCAAUUUGGUGGGCAACAAAAUCAACAAUUUUGAAAAAAUCAAUUGGCUUCUAGAAAACCAUCACAUUUUUCCUCCAUGUAACUUCAACAAAAUCGUGCCACCAACCUUGCCUUUUGAAAUUUGCAAGCCCACCAACUUUGUCUUUUGAAAUUUGCAAGCCAUUCUUUGACUUUUCAACAGUUAGCUGGUGAAGAAGUCACGUUGCUUGAUGCUACAAAACAACCUAUUUAGAACCUUCAUGCCUGUUAGCCUAUAUGGCUAUAAAUAUUGAUUUUGAUGAUAACAAACCACAUGUAUUUUAAAAGCUUUGAUAAUGUUUUUAAAGUUUUCGGAUUUGGACUUAUUUGAAAUUAUUGAAAUGUUUUUGGGGUCAUUAUAUAAUUUCACAAAGUUUGGGCAAAGUCAUAAUUUCAGAAAAGUUUUGGGAUUAACGAAGCAUUACUUAAAAAUUCUGAAAUUGGACCUAUUUGCAAAGUUUCAUAACGUUUUGGGCCAUACUACAGUUUUUAUAAAGUUUUGGGGUCAAACUGAAAAUAUGGGAAAAAUUUCACUGUAGCAGGUUACUGUAGCAACCGGCUUACCGGUUACUGAUAAACGGCAGGCCGAAUUCGGGCAGUAAGCACCAUAACGAAAACGACUUACCGGAUUCCGAAUCCGGCAAGCCGGUUAGGCAAAAUUUUGAAUUUUGCCUUAACGGUAACAUAAAUCCGGCUUACCGGAUUCCAUUAAACGGCAAACCGGAUAGCCCAGAAUGUGAGUAACGGCUAGUUUUCGAGCUCAAGCUAUAAGAACUCAAAUCCAACUCAUUUUGAAGCUCUCCAACAAGCAAAAACAAAAGGCACACGUGAUAUCUUGAGUGUUCAAACUUGCGAAAUACAAACAUUGAAUCUUUUCUUGUUCUUCAUCAUUGUAUAUCUACUCAUUGAGUGAGUUUCAUUGUAAUCAUCAUUUGUUCAUCUCAUUUGUAAGAAUUUGAGUGUGUGAGACACUUGAGUGAAGAGAUUGGGAGAUAAUCUCUUUGUUGUAAAGGUUUAUUGACACCUCGAAGUCAAUUGUAAUUGUUGAAGCCUUGGAAAGGCCUGGAUAGUGAAAUCCUCGAGCUUGGAUCGCUUGGAGGCGUGGACGUAGGCGGGGAUUGCCGAACCACGUAAAAAUUCGUGUGUUUGUUUCUCUUCUCCCUUACUCUUUAAUUAUUGUGCUAUUAUUGAACUUAUUGUUUUCAAUUACUGUUAAGACAUUAGAUUGCUUGUUGUGUGGAUUUGUUAGGAUAGAUUUUAAAAAUCCAAUUCACCCCCCCUCUUGGGUUGCACACUUGUAUUUCAAUGCCAAGGUUGAAAUCGUUACUUCUUGGCUGAGUGAAUUUGAAUAUGAAACGUCCUGGCUUCUGGUGCAAAAAAUAUGAGAAGAGGAAAUUGAUGACCCAUAUCUUGGGAACAUUGGGACCCUUAUAGACGAAAUCAAUUGCUUUACGUAUGAAUCUGAGAGGGUCAUCAACUUCAUCGUGUUCUUGGCAAUAAUAUUUUGAAUAAUAACAUUUUCCAGAAAAAGACAAGGAACAAUAGAAAACAUUGAAAAAGCAAAAAAUAUUGUACACUGUAGAGACCUCUCCUCGAUACUUUACUGUAAUUACCAAUUGUGACUGAGGAACUCAUUGCCACUCAUCAUCUAUAGCAUACAUAUAACUUUUAACACCUUAGCAAGGAAGUUACCUGCUCAGAUAGAAUACCGGAGAUGCCCACAACUGCUCCUGGCUUAGCAUAAGAAACAAUAUGAUCUGCUAAUUGCAGCAGAGGAUUAAGAAGAAUAUUUGCAAUAACUACAUCAUACUCCUCUGUCUCAGAAAUCCCUCUAAUUUUGUGUGAGCUCAAAUAUUCCACUAUUCCGUCUACCCUUUCAUUCAUGGAGGACGGGAAGGUUCUGUCUGGAACCAAGUGUAGUUUCAUUUUCUUAGGUCCUAUGUUGUUUAAAGCAGCAUUUUGAUGGGCAGAUUUGAUUACCUGGGGAUCUAUAUCAACUCCAACAGACAUGGCAGUACCAAACUAAAUUCACAGAAGAAUUGACUUUGUUUCACAUUGUACAACAUAAAGACAAAUUAUGCUACAGUAAUGGAUCAAUAUUUAUAGCCGCAGUAGCAAAAUUAAUAAUUGAUUACCUUGAUUGCUGCAAUUCCAAGAAUUCAUGAACCCGUGCCAUAGUCCAAGAAGAGUUCUCCUCCUUUUAUCAAGCUUCGUAACAACAAAAGACACAACUUAGUGGUGGCGUGCUCUCCAGUUCCAAAUGCCAAUCCAGGAUUCAAAAUUAUAUUUGUUGCUUGAACAUCUUGUAGCGAGCAAAAAAAAAAUAUUAUUGAUACGAUGUGUUAACCAUUGCUCAAAGCUAAAAUUUUUCUUUGUAAAGAAUUAAAAGAAGUAAAAAUGCAAGGGAGACUAUUCCAGCAGUCAAACGGAUUUGCAAUGAGAAUGCCAAGUCGGUGUGUUUGGAUUACUCUUCAUAAUUUUAGAAUUUCCAGGUAAACUAUCAGGCAAAGUCACUAGAACCUUAGGUCAUUAGGCAGAGGGGCCCAAUAAUAAAUAAGCAGCUAUAUUAAAGACUUAACUAAUGUGGGAUUACAUCAAUAUUAUGAUUUUGCAAAUUAAGGUUCCUCAUUGACGAAAUUUAAAGACUCGGAAGCAAUUAGCUCAUAAGACUUCUGCAGAAGCAAUGAAGAAGAGGGUACCCUAUAAAAGAUGAGAUAAGAAAUUACUGCAACAAACCUCCAAAGAGAGUGAGAUAAUCAUACUGGUGGUAUACUCCACUCGGGCACAAUCCAUAGUCCUUUUGUCACCUCAACGGGAUGAAAUGAUUCCUGCAACAUGUAAGAAAAUAGAAUCAAAUUGACAUAACUUAAUUCCAAUUAUACCAUUGUGAUAGAGAGAAAAAGGAGAGCAAACAAACCUGAGCUUUCUUUAUCCAGUUGCAUUGCUCUCCCAUUUUAACUUCAUAACGUGGUAUCUCUUUCAAGCCUAUGGAAUUAGCAGUAUUUAAUAUGCACUCAUCCACAUCUUUGCAUUCAGGAAAUAUGGAAUCAAUAUAGAUCUGUAUAAAAGCAAUCUGUAAGUAAUAUUUAACACAACUAUAGUUUUUAUUCAGAAGCCACUCUACAUUCAACAAAAUCUAAGACCAACUAGUAACAUUAUAAUUGUGUUUUAGAGGCACUCUUUUAACGCAGAAAAAAGCCAAUUUUCAAUUCCAUACCAAACAUUGAAAAAUUUUGUACUUAUUUAGUAUUAUUAUUAAUUUUUUCCUCUGGCUACCUUUCUAGCAAGUGAACCAACAAAGUCAACAAAAAUCUAAGGCCAACUGGUAACAUUACAUUGGAAUUUAGAAGCACAUUUUUAACACAAAUAGAAACCAAUUUGCAAAUGGGAUAUGUGUUAGGAAAUUGAGCUUCCUCCCAAGAUCUCUCCAAGCAAUUUAUCAAGCAAAAAAUUAAUAAGAAAAAUUAAAUGGAGAAUAUACCAAUCACACAACACAAGAUUUACGUGGAAAACUCCAAAUCCGGAGAAAAACCACGGUCGUUGUCAAAAAGACAACCAGAGAAAAAAUAUUCACUAUGUGAAAAAUUAUUACAACCGCACUCUCAGAAAUAAUUUUCUCUUACCACAAGAACUUUAUAAUUUUAAUUCCUUAAAAUUAUUCAAGCUCUAAACUUUGUUUCUUCACAAAACUGGAUGCCCAAACCAAAUGAGCAGCACCCCUUUUUAUAGCCAAAAUUGGCUAUUAAAAUACUAUUAUAUUUUCCACCGCCAUUAUCUUCUUCAACUCUUCCUUUUUCUUCUUCCUUGUCAAAGUUGUUUGCUUCUUUUCUUCAUUCAAAGAUUUGAAUGUCAACAUUCAAAUCUUUGAAUGUUGACAAUGGCUAGCACCCCAUCUAGAAGGGCGGUGCCAGCUUACCUCUUUUCAAAAUAUGAGUUUCAUUUCUUGUUUAUUGGUACUCUCAACAUCCUUUACAAUAUAUGAAUCAAUAAAAAGAAAAAAGAAAAAAGAAAAAAAAGAAAGAAGAAAUUGAAAAAUAAAGUUUCAACCUCAUCAGAAUUCUCAUCAGCAUCAUUAUCAUGUUCAUCCACGCUUGUAGAACUUGCACCGAAACAUAGAGGAGCUUCAGAAAACAUAUCCUGACAACACAAGUUAAGGCACCUCAACUCUAAUGCCAAAUAAUUACUAAUUCAAAAUGCUUAAAAACACAGACAAGUAAAAAAAGUGAAACAAACUAAGGCAUGUUUUUGACAGCAAAUGCGAACUAAGAGAUAAGGAGAUUCCACUGACGGAGGGUAGAUAGAGGAUAAGGAUGCGCAUGGAGAAGAAGAAGAAGAAGAAGAAGGGGCUGAAACUUUUAUGAGAACGGAAGAGGGUGUUGUUAACUGGGUUCUGGGUUUUUGUUUUAUGAGCGUAAAUAGAUUCUGAUGGCGGGUGAGCUGUUUGUACGGAAGACGUUUGAAGAAAUGACCCAAUGAGAAGAAUGACAUUGCUGCUCUGCUAUAUUAAGAUAGUUGUUUAUCUAAGGGUGCGUCUUCGAUUCGCAGAGGACUCAAACAAUUUAUUUUCUAUCACAAUUUAUUCCCCCUCCCAUCUGUAGGAAUUAGUGCUGAUUUUCGAGCAAUCUUCUCGAUAAUAACAAUUAACAUUUCAAAGAAAAUAUAAUUAUAUAUGAACAUAAAGCGGUGAGUCAAUUAGAUUGGAUUAGAUCAAAUAAGGGGAUGGUUACCUUAUAAAUUCUGUAAGGUACACCCAUCCAAAAUAAGUAAAAUAGAGAUGGUCGACAUGUAAAAUCUAUAAGGUGGCAAGGUCCAUCUAAUAAUUCGAUAUUGUUUAACCUACACGCAUAUUAAUGAAAGCUAUUGACACCCUCUAAGACUCUCAUAGAACCCUGAGCCUAAAACUUGCAGAACGACAAAAAGAGAAUAAAGUGGAACUAUUGGCACAUCUAAAAGAAUUCUUAUAUCUUAAAGUUAUAUUUUUAACUUUAAUCAAAUCACGUUUGAUAAUCCAUGUCUCUUCUUCUAACCCCACAUGGGUUUUAUUUUUAUUAAAUAAAAGAUAGUUUUGUUGUUGUAGUGAAAAUGUUUUUUUAUUUUCAUUUUUAUUCUUAAAUUAGUGGUUUCUGUUAGAUUGAAAAUUUUAGUUCAUUAUUUUCAAAUUAUGAAAGGCUUACUAUUUUGGCUGCUGUUCAUAUAAAAGCACAUGAAUUGUCACAUUCAGCGUGUAAAAUGAUAUUGGAUUAGCUUCUAGCAAUCUUUUUUAGUGUAAAAGAAAUAUAUAUUUAAUUCUUUUUUUUCUCUCUCAUAGUAAAGUUAGUGAGAAAGAAGUGUACAAGGGCGUUUGUGGAAUUAAAAUAGCUCCACUCAAGAGGAUGGCCUACAGUAUUUCUUACCUAGUUUUUAGAUUCUAUUUUCUACUAGUUUAACUUACUUCAUAGUAAUAUUUUGAUAUCUUUUCCCAUGGAAUGAUAAAAAAAAAUAAUAAUAUGAAUUCUAUAUUAUAAAAAUCGUAUAUACAUAUAAUAAUAAGAAUAAAAAGUUGGAAAACGAAGCUCAAAAAAUUUUUAAUUGAAAAGUUGAUUCUCAUGUGCCGAACAAGGGCUUCAAAUUAAAUUGGUGAAAAAGUUUCGUAAUAAAAGAUUUUUGUUUUCAUAUGAUUUUUUAAGAAAAAAGAAUAUAUAAAGUUAUUUGUGAAAUUAACAUAGGUGCUGUUAAAAGUAGAAUAUAUAUAUAGCAUAUGACAAGUUACAUACAUCUAAUUUUCUGCAUGCAUGUGGAACAAAUUUAAUUGUUUAAAUUUCUAAUUUGUCAAAUCGAGAUCUGAUUUCUGAAUUUUUUAGCUGUCAAAUGGAUUAAAUUUCCCCCCAUAUAUACUGUCUAGAGAAACUCAUGAAUCUAAACGAACCAAAUGUUGGGAAAAUAUGCUCUUUAAAAGCAUAUGUGUUUAUUUAAUUGUAAUAAACAAUUUUUCUGAUUAAUAAAAUAAAUGAGGUAUUUUAUUCAAAUAUCUUAAUUGCAUUAAUAUUUGUAUUAAAGUCCAUUUAAUCAUAUUAUAUGUAUUUAUGUGAUCACCAUGUGGAUUCACAGAAGACAUAAAUACAAGUUAUCUUAUGAUUAAAUAAAUUUAGUUCACAGUUGAUAAAUAAAGUUGGGCACUUUAUUUAGGUAUAGACUGUAAUAAAUCUGCUGUACGGCCAAGGCGGAUGUACGGUACAGCAGAGUAAGGAUCAAGGAAUAAGAUGUUAUUAAAUUGUUUGGACAGUUGAGAUAUCAAUUUAAUUAACGAUGUGGUACAAAGGCUUGUGCAGUAAAGAAAUCAAUGUGGCUUGGGACGAAUUAUUAUUCGAGCAUAUAAUUAUGGAAGUCAGUUCCAAUCUUUUAGUGGAGUAGGUUUGGAAUUAAAUAAUUGGGCUAGUUUAAUUAUAGGCCUAAUUAUUUUAGCCACUAUUGUAUGUUCCCAAAUGAUCCCCGGGUUAGCUCAUUUAAUUGACUGCACCACUACUGGACUAAUAAGUAAGAUAACUAGCUAUUUGGGUCAAAAGCCUAAAUAUAUCAUUUAGUGGGAGGCUCCAUUUAAUUAGCUUUUGUAUAAGGGGCCUUAUGUUAUUUUACAAGGUGGGUCCCCUAUUGAAAAAGAAAGUAACGUGAGUUUUAUUUAGGGCAUUAUUUGGAGCCUAGGGUUUUCACUAAAGGGUGAUAUAAAAGGCUUAUUUUUCCCAAAAGAAAGAAGUGAAGCCACUAUAAAGAAAAAAGAAGAAGCCACUUUAUACAAAUCGGAGAAUAAGAUUUUUCUCUCUAUUGUUGAGAGAAAAAUUUUCUCGUGCUAGUUGCUUUGGUAGUGAUAAAGGCGCCCACACGUCAAGUGCAGAUCGAACCUGAGUCAUAACCUGGAAGAUCUUCAGCGGAAAAAGCAAACUCAGAUUUAGUGGUGGUGACGGAUCGUGAUCUAACAGGAGUGGUGGUGGCGGAUCGUGAUCUAGGAGCCUAAAUCACUUCAGCGGAAAAAGCAAACUCAGAUUUACAAGGUACGAUUUCUAGAAUACGAAUUCUUAUAUAUUAUAUGAGAGCGAUCUUCAAAAGGUUUUAUAAAAAUUAAAAACCUGAUUUUUCCCCAACACCAAACACAUAUUAAAUUUAAUAAUAUCAUUAUCCUCAGACUCUCAGUUUUGCACUUUUGCUUACAUAAACAUUAUGGAACUUAAACUUAAAUCCACAUUUUUCAUCACUCUCUUCGUGGCCUCAUGUAAUCAUGUUUGUUCCUUAAUCGUCUCUUCCUCAUCUUUUUAAUGCAUGCAUAAUUAACUAUAAUUAAUAUGACAACUAAUUGGCUGGCAUUUAUAUAUGCAGAUGUGUUAUUAGCAUUAGGCUAAUUAAUUGUUUGGCAUUUAUAUAUGCAGGUAUGUUGUUUUAUAUUUCCAUGCCGGCAGUUGACAGUUGCAAAAUUCGUUUGAAUGUGAUCUUGGUACCCAUCUCUGUGUUUGUGUUCCUGGCUGAAAUUCGACGUGUUGUUGAAGAGUUCUAGUGAUAUUUUGAAAUUAAAGCUUGUAUUGCAAGUUCUAGUGAUAUUUUGGAUGCUGAAUUGCAAAAUUUGUAACGUUACAAUCUUUGUUUCAUUUCUUACAUCAUAUGUCAAAUGAAAGUAUCAACUAAGAUUGAUGCCUCUCUUCUGACAUGCAUAUUAAAAUUGUGCACAAAAAUUUACAAACCAUCUCCAUGUGAUUGGUCCUAUACAAUGUUGUACUAUACAUUUGGAGAAGUCUUUAAGGCUUGGAAUUAGGGAUUGUUAUAUUUUUAACACUAAGGACUCAAAUGAAAAUAAUUAUAAAUAGUGUCUUAAGAGGUAAUCCUUUUAAAAAGGUGAGAGUUCAUAUAAUACUGAUAUUUGAAUCAAAGAAUGAUACAAUGGUGACAAAAUAACUAUAAAUAAAAUUUAUAGUGUUAAAUAAAAAAUUAUAACUAUUUUUCAGUUAACAUUGUAAGAUUGCACAAUUUACUAUUAUUUUUGUCACAUUAGAAUUCUUUUUCAUUUUUCAUUUCUUAAAAAAGAAUGCUAAAAAGAUCCCCAAAUUUCUGUGGGAUAUGUAUGUAGUUUUAAAAUGAACAUGUAUUAAAUAUAAAAUUUUACAAAUGAUUUAGAACUGUCUCCAAAUCUCGUUGAAGAAAUAAGGUAGCAUCGUACAUGAUUAAUAAUGCAUAUUUCUUUGAGUAAUUUUACAUUUAUAACCAUGGGAUACAAAUUUUAUCUGUGAUAUACAAACAUGCAAGUCUCGCAAUAAAUUUAACACACCAGACAUGGUUUUGCAUUUUUCCAUAGCAUAAAUUAUUAAAUAAUUGAUAACGCUCUUGUGCUUGCUCUGCUUUCUUCCUUUCAGACAAGCUUUUAUAGUCCUAGUGGAAUGUAUAAAACAAAUUGGUCUUGAUCGACAGUUGACGAUGUCCUGUUAUUUUUCUCUGCUUUAUGCUUUUUACAACAUAUGGAAGACAAGAGUAUUGUAAGAUUCUGCCUUGAUCUGUUCUAAUUUGAGAGUCAACAAUCUUGAUUCAACUUCUUGACUGGAGAACUAGCUAAGAGAAGGGAGGUAUGGGAGCCAACACUAAUGUUUUAAUUGAGAGCUUUAAAGCAUAUUUUCUUUUUCCUCCUCUCUUUUAAUUAUUUCUUUGCAUGCUAUAGGACUGAUUUCAGGGUGAAUCUGAGAGAGGAGGAGAUAUGGACAUCAGCUUCAGACUAUUUUCAGAGAGGCUGGGAAGGGUGUUAGCUGGUGAAGAAGUCACGUUGCCUGAUGCUGCAAAACUACCGAUUCAGAACCUUCAUGCCGAGGUUGAAAUCGUUACUUCUUGGCUGAGUGAAUUUGAAGACGACAUGUCCUGGCUUCUGCUGCAAAAAAUAGGAGGAGGGGAAAUUGAUGACCCAGAUCUUGGGAACAUUAUGGAUGAAAUCAAUUGCUUUACGUAUGAAUCUGAGAUGGUGAUUGACACAUUCAUCAACAGCAUCAAUGAACACAAGAGUCAAAGCAGCUGCAGCAAGGACAUUUAUGAUGCUCUGCAAGGACUCCAAAGCAGAAUCACUAAGAUUAAGCAACGGGUUCAACAACUUAAGCACAUCGAUCCCAAAUUCAUGGAUGACUUCAGAAGUGUUGAAGCUGAAUCCGGUUAUUUUCCUGCAUUUUCAUCUUCUAAGAAUAGGAACAUGGUGGGCCUAGAUGAUAGAAUGGAGGAGUUGUUAGAUCUAUUGAUCGAGGGACCAACUCAGCUUUCGGUGGUGGCCAUACCCGAUAGCAUUGGGUUGGACAAGACGAUUUUCACUGCGGAGGCUUACAACAGCAGUUAUGUGAAGCAUUAUUUUGAUUAUCUCGCUUGGAUUCCAUCGCCUUAUCACUAUGACGCUGACCAAAUAUUAGAUAUCGUUACUGUGAUUCUUUUGCCUUUUUCUAUGUUGAGUAAAAUAAAGGAUAAAGAUUACGAAAUGAAAAAAAUUAUUCUUGGUGAAUAUCUAAUGACUAAGCGAUAUUUGAUUGUGCUUGAUGAUGUGUGGAGCACAGAUGUAUUGGAUGAUAUUCGAGAAUCCUUCCGGAUAAUCAGAAUGGAAGUAGAGUAUUAAUAAAACUCACUCAAAUUAAGAUGGUCACCUCAUUUCAGCUCAAAGACGGAGAGAACAUUCGGCUUGAUUUAGUGCCCACUGGAGGACCAUUGAGAGCUACAUACCAAGGAUGGCCUUUCCUCAUCUUAUAUCAUGGAAGCAUCUCAUUCGAAGAAAAUAUAGUGGAAGCAAUCGAGACACCCUUAGGGCUUCUAACUGUAAUAUGUUGCAAGCUACCUUUUCACUUGAAACUUUGUUUUCUCUACUUAUCUGUGUUUCCCGCACACCUAGAGAUAUCCACCAGGCAGUUAUAUCAGUUGUGGAUAGCUGAAGGUUUCAUUCCAGACAACAGUGUGGCAAUUGCUGGGAAGUACUUAGAGCAACUAAUCAAUAGAGGCUUUGUUGAUACAAGGAAGAGAAGAGCUGGAGGCACUAUCAACACAUGCUCUGUUCGUGGUCGUUGCCGUCCUGUGUUGUUAACAGUGGCUUUCAAGGCAGAAUUUAUCUUUCUCUUGUUCAUGGAUUCAAAAGGUAAAUCACAAAAAAAUGUUAAAUGGGUCAGCGUUUUUGAAAAACAUAGUGAUUUUGUUCACUUAGAUGAUUAUGACUCGCACAUGCAUUCUUUGUUGUACUUCACUUCAAAAAGCGACCACCUUGACCCAAUAGAUUGGGAGAAAAUUUGCAGAAUGUUCAAAUUUCUCAGAGUAUUGGACUUGGGAUCUCUUGUUCUCAUCCAAUAUCCAUCCGGAAUUGAAAAUUUAUUUCUUUUGAGAUAUUUAAAGUUGAAUAUCCCUUCCCUCAAAAUCCUGCCUUCAUCAUUAUUAAGCAAUCUUCUGAACCUUUACACCUUAGACAUGCCCUUUAGCUAUAUAGAUCAUACAGCAGAUGAAUUUUGGAAGAUGAAAAAACUCAGGCAUCUAAAUUUGGGGUCAAUCACACUUCCUGCGCAUCCAGGAAAAUAUUGUGGCUCUCUUGAAAAUCUCAAUUUCAUUUCAGCCUUGCAUCCUUGCUGCUGUACUGAAGAUAUAUUGGGCAGACUACCUAAUCUUCAAAAUCUCUAGAUACAGGGAGAUUUAAGUUAUUAUCAAUCCUUGUUGUCCAAAAGCCUCUGCAGAUUGAGCUCUCUUGAGUCAUUGAAGCUGGCGAAUGAAAGCAAGAUGCCACGGUUCUCCAAAAUAGUCCUUGCUGAAUACUUAUUUCCUCAUAGUCUAACCCACCUGAGUUUUUCUAAUACUGACCUAAUGGACGAUCCCAUGCCGGCACUAGAAAAGCUGCCGCUUCUUCAAGUGCUCAAACUGAAGCAAAACUCGUAUUCAGGUAGAAAGCUGACUUGUGGUUCUGAUGGUUUUCCAAGGCUUAAGGUAUUGCACAUGAAAUCAAUGCUAUGGCUAGAGGAGUGGACUAUGGGGACUGGGGCAAUGCCAAAACUAGAAUGCUUGCUUAUCAACCCUUGUGCUUACUUGAAAAGGGUUCCUGAACAGCUCUGGUGCAUAAAGAGCUUAAACAAAUUCGAUUGCUGGUGGCCUCAGCCAGAGCUGAGACAAAAGCUACGGGAAUUCAAGGAUAAGGAGCAGUAUGGCGUUCAGCUUUAUCCUUACGGAAUUUGAUUAGCCCUGAUUGAGUUUGAUGUAAGUUUUUUCUUCUUCCCCAAUAACUUCAACCUUUAAUUAUUGAUCUAAUUUCAUAUAAAAGUUUUUUUUCUCCACAAUAGAUUUGAUAGUAUGCAGCUGCCUGAACUAUAAUCAUAAUAUAAAGUGUUUUCUACAUUCUAAUUGUGGUUGCUUCUAAUUUUUGUCUCAAGCCAAAGUUUCAAUUUCAACCAGAAUCCAGCCUUCAUCCUUUCAGUGUUCACUUCUGCUAAGUUGUCUACACGUUGUUUGGUUUCUUUGUUUUCAAGGAUUUGCAUGCUAAAAGUAAUAAUGUCAUGUUCGGAUUAAUAUAUUGUACAAAAGUUUGAUUAAUUGUUUUACUUUCUAUUUUCAGUUUCAUUGGUGUGUAUUCAAUUUGUCAACAUUCAAAUUGAUAUAUGUUAUGUUUUUAUUUUUAUUUUAUUUCUUUCUCUAGUUUUUAAGUAGUGGUACAGUUCUGUCAAGGAAGCUCAUAAUGCAUGGAAGGAAGCAGCACACGUGUGAGAUGAAUACAGUCAGCUGAAUCAAUUGAAGAGUGAAGUGCCAGCUCAGCUGAAGUUAGUUAGACACAUUAAGAUCAUAUUCAGUUAGCUUCUUUAUUUUCUGUUAAGCUGUAAACAGCUGAGUAUAAAUACAAGCAUCUUGUAAUCAUUUUGUUAUCAUGUAAAAAUGAAAUAAAGCAUUUGAUUCAGAAGUCUUUUACAAAUGUUCUUAGCACUUUAAAUACAUUUUCUCAGUAACCAAACAGUCUGUUCAUUCAAGCUUUUAAGCUUUCAAACAUGGUAUCAGAGCUAUACAGAGCUAGUUCCAAUAAUCAACAGUCAAGCUUUCGUAAUCAAACAACAAACAACACAAAUCAAUCUACUCAAAUCAACUUCUCCUUUACUAAACCUAUCAAGCUAGAUCGAUCAAAUUACUUACUCUGGCGCUCUCAAGUUUUAGCUUCAAUAAGAGGCAAUCGUUUGGAAGAUUUCGUCACAGGAGCCAAAUCAGUACCUGAUAAGUGUCUUCUGUUAACUGAAGCAGAUGGAUCUACACAACAAAUUGAAAAUCCAGAAUAUCAGAUCUGGAGAUCACAGGAUCAGACACUUCUUGGCUGGCUACUGUCGUCAUUAAGUGAAGGUAUCUUGAGUCUUGUUAUCAAUUGUGAGAGUUCAUUUGAUAUAUGGAAAACUUUGGAAAAGAAAUUUGGAGUUCAAUCUGAAGCUCGAGUUCUUCAACUCAGAUAUGAACUAAACACUCAUAAAAAGGAAGCUCUUAGUGUUGAAGAUUAUUGUAUUAAAAUGAAAGCAAUAGCUGAUAAGCUAGCCAGUGCUGGUAGUUCAAUUACAGAGAAGGAUUUUAUGUUAACUAUUCUUAAUGGAUUAGGACCAGGAUUUCGUGAUAUUGCUACACUUAUAACUGGUUCACGAAUGGAAUUUGAUGAUGCUUAUGCACUGUUACUCACUCAUGAGACUAGAUUAGAGCAGCAGCAAGGUGGCAGAAGUAUGUUUAAUGCAAACUAUGCAUAUACGAAUGCAUAUUAUCCUAGAGCUUAUUUUGCACAGCCUAGAGGAAAUUUUAAACGAGGAGGUUAUUCUGGUGGUAGAACUCCUUUCUUUGGCAGAGGAAAUAUGAAUUACUCUCCAAGAAUGUUUAAUGGAGGUGUUAGAAAUGGAUAUGGCAGAGGAUUUUUUCCUGGAAAUAACUCCACUGAUUUCAAUCAUUUUUCAGCUCCGAGGAAUCCAGUACCUAGGAACUCAUCCUUUCUAGCUAGAAAUGGUGCUAAUAUGAGUGGAUCACAAGGAAGCUUUAAUAAUGCUGGGGAGCUGGUAUGUCAGAUUUGCUUUAAGAAUGGUCAUACUGCUGAUGUUUGUUGGCACAUAUUUAUUGAAGACUUUGUACCUGUUCCAAGAGGUUUUGGCAGGGGAAAAACACCAAGAGCAGCAUAUUUCUCAAACUUUGAUGGCUCUACUUCUAAUCCAGAUUUUGGCUAUGAAAACAAUAAUAUGUUUCCAGGUUAUGAUUCUAUAUCUGGCAAUAGUUACUAUUCUGGAAUGGAUGGAUACACUUCUGGAGCAGCUGGAACAGCUUUCAUGGCUAAUUUUGAAGGGACUGCUGAUGAUGGAUGGUAUCUGGAUAGUGGGGCAACUCACCAUUUAACCAACAAUAUGGAGAAUUUGCAGAUCAAUGAAGAGUUUAAAGGUACUGAUCAGCUUAUCAUUGGAAAUGGUCAAGGUUUGUCUAUUACUCAUGUUGGACAUGCAUUUCUGGUAUUAAGAGCUUCUAAAUCUUUAUCUACACGUGCUAGAAUAACACUUAAAGAUGUGUUACUUGUUCCUUCAAUUACCAAAAAUCUAUUAAGUAUUUCCAAACUCACAUCUGAUAAUCCUGUAUCUGUUGAAUUCUGUGGAAAUGUUUGUUUUGUGAAGGACAUGAAGGGUCAAGUUCUUCUGCAGGGUAUUGCUGAAAAAGGCCUUUAUAAGCUGCUGCUGAAAUCUAAUUCUCUUUCUUCAUCACCUACAUCUUAUCCUUGUAAAUCCCAGCCAAAUAAACUAGUUUCUAUGUUAUCUGCUUUCAAACACUGUGAUAAUGGUACUCGAGCUUGCUAUCAGUCUGUUUUAAAUAAGUGUAAUGUCAAACCUGAUAUGAUAACUUUGUUACAUAGAAAGUUUGGUCAUCCAAGCUCAAUGACAUUGGUGCAUUUGCUCAAAUCAUGUAAACAGUUUAAAAUCUCUCCAAAAGAUAUGUUAUCUUCUGCAAACACUUUAUGUGAAGCAUGUCAGCUAGGCAAAGUCCAUAAGCAACAUUUCUUAAUAACUGAAACAAAAACAAAAGGGGUAUUAGAAUUGAUUCAUACUGAUCUUUGGGGGCCUUCACCUACUGUGUCUAGAGAUGGAUACAAAUACUACAUUAGUUUUGUGGAUGAUUAUACUAGGUAUUCUUGGAUCUAUCCUCUUAAGCUCAAAUCACAAGCAUUUGAAGUUUUUAAAUUGUUCAAAACUCAAGUUGAGAAUCAGUUUGAUACCAAAAUUAAGAAGCUACAAUCUGACCUUGGGGGAGAGUUUAGAGCAUUUAUUGAUUUUCUGAAUCAAAAUGGAAUAAUGUUUAGACACUCAUGUUCUUACACUCAUCACCAGAAUGGUAUUAUUGAAAGGAAACACAGGCAUAUAGUUACACCAGAAUGGUAUUGUUGAGAGGAAACACAUGCAUAUAGUUGAGCUAGGCUUAACCCUCAUGGCUCAAGCAAACAUUUUUCUUCAAUUCUGGUGGGAAGCUGUUCAUACAGCAGUGUAUCAUAUUAAUAGAUUGCCUACCCUUGUUCUGAAAUUCUUAUCUCCUUAUGAGAAACUUUUCAAACACAAACCAGAUUACACAUUCCUGAAGUGUUUUGGUUGUCUUUACUACCCAUACUUGAGGGAUUUUAACAAACAUAAGUUUGAUUUUCACACCUCUAAAUGAAUUUUUAUUGGAUACAAUCCCUCUUAUAAAGGAUACAAGUGCUUAGCAAGUUCUGGCAAAGUCUAUGUUCUUAGACAUGUCAUUUUUUAUGAAAACACAUUCCCUUAUCCAAUAAACACUACAUCUCACUCAUCAGAAAACCCCAUAUCUUCUGAAACCUCAGUGUCUAAUUUCUCUCAACAACAUAUCUAUCAUCUUUCUACAAUGGCCUUACCCAACAGCAGCUUUGAAGGUCUUCAAUCAGCAGGCUCAGCAAGAAGUGAACAAAUGCCCUCUGUUCCCACACAUACAGAUAUUCUGAAUCAACAAGAACAUCCAUCACACACAUCUUUAGAGUUAUCAUCCUCAACCUCACCAUCACCAAACACAUUGCCAGUACAAUCAUCCAUUCUACAAUCAGAGGAAACUUCUAUUCCACAGAACAUAGACCAAAUUCAAACCAGAAAUUAUUCCCAACCAUCUUCUCAUCCAAUGAUUACCAGAUCAAAAUCUGGAAUCUUCAAACCAAAGGUCUAUACAGUCACCUUAGCCAACAAAGAACCUAGUACAGUUCAAGAAGCUCUUAGUAGUCAGAAUUGGCAUCAAGCCAUGGUAGAUGAGUAUGAAGCUUUGAUAAAGAAUGAGACUUGGUCACUGGUACCAUUUUCAAAUGCAUACAAAGUAGUUGCGAACAAAUGGGUGUUUAGAUUUAAGCAAAAUACUGAUGGAAGCAUAGCCAAACACAAGGCCAGGUUGGUUGCCAAAGGUUUUCAGCAAACUGAAGGUGUGGAUUACUUUGAGACCUUUAGCCCAGUUGUAAAAGCUUCAACAGUAAGGAUUAUUCUGAGUUUAGCUGUGAUGCAUAAAUGGAAAAUAAGGCAAGUGGAUGUGAAUAACGCAUUUUUGAAUGGAGACUUGACAGAGGAUGUCUAUAUGUAUCAGCCUGAAGGUUUUAUUGAUCAACAAAAACCCAAUCAUAUAUGUAAGCUGAAGAAGGCCUUGUAUGGCUUGAAGCAAGCUCCUAGAGCUUGGUAUGACAAGCUUAAGAAUUGUCUUAUUGCUAAUUGGAAAUUUCAGAAUUCAAAGGAUGAUACCUCUCUCUUCUUCAAAGAAGUGCAGGGUUCAAUGAUACUUAUCUUAAUCUAUGUUGAUGACAUUCUAAUAACAGGACCUGAUAAUGGUGAGUUGGAAAAAUUCAUCUCAGAAUUUAGUAAGACUUUUGCCUUAAAAGACUUGGGAAUUCUGUCAUAUUUUCUGGGGAUAGAAGUUUCCUAUGCUGAAGACUGCAUCCAUCUAUCUCAGAAGAAAUAUAUCUUGGAUUUGUUAUCCAAAGCUGAUAUGCAAAAUUGUAAAGGCUGUGACACUCCCAUAGUUACUGGAACAAAGCUUCAGAAAGAAGUCAAAGGCUGUUUGGGUCAAUAUAUUGAGGAUGCAACAAGCUAUAGAAGCUUAGUUGGAGGUUUACAAUAUCUGGUAUUAACCAGACCAGAGAUAGCAUUUGUUGUGCAUAAGUUAAGCCAGUAUGUGACAGCUCCAACACUCCAGCAUGUUAUGGCUUGUAAAAGAGUUCUUAGAUACCUUAAGAAAACUGCAGAUCAUGGUAUGAAGUUUUCAGCAGAUGGGGAAAUGAAGAUCACAGGAUUUACAAAUGCAGAUUGGGCAUGUGAUGUUGAUGACAGAAAAUCAAUAGGAGCAUAUUGCAUUUAUUUUGGAAACAAUCUAAUUUCAUGGUCAUCCAAGAAGCAGGCUGUGGUUACACGAUCCAGUGCAGAGAGUGAAUAUCGUGCUCUGGCUUCUGCAAGUGCAGAGAUAACAUGGAUCCAGUCAUUAUUCAGUGAACUCAACAUUAAGUGUACUUCAUUACCAACUAUCUGGUGUGACAAUAUAAGUGCAACAGAGUUGGCCAAUAAUCCAGUUUAUCAUUCAAGGACUAAACAUAUUGAACUAGAUAUGCACUUUAUUAGAGACAAAGUUUUGGCAAAGGAGUUGGAGAUUAACUAUAUUCCCAGCGAGGAGCAAAUUGCUGAUGCUUUGACAAAGCCUCUGACAUUCAUUCAUUUCAAUUAUUUCAGAGACAAACUCAAUGUGCAACCAUGCCCCUUGAGUUUGAGGGGGGCUGUCAAGGAAGCUCAUUAUGCAUGGAAGGAUGCAGCACACGUGUGAGAUGAAUACAGUCAGCUGAAUCAAUUGAAGAGUGAAGUGCCAGCUCAGCUGAAGUUAGUUAGACACGUUAAGAUCAUAUUCAGUUAGCUUCUUUAUUUUCUGUUAAGCUGUAAACAGCUGAGUAUAAAUACAAGCAUCUUGUAAUCAUUUUGUUAUCAAGUAAAAAUGAAAUAAAGCAUUUGAUUCAGAAGUCUUUUACAAAUUUUCUUAGCACUUUAAAUACAUUUUCUCAGUAACCAAACAGUCUGUUCAUUCAAUCUUUUAAGCUUUCAAACGUUCAACUUCAAGCUUAGUACUUCAGUUAGAAGAAAAGUAUUUGCGCUUUGAUCUCAUCUCAUCAUGUCAACACUGGCAGAACGACAUUGUUGUUCGGUUUUUUGGAAUUUCACCGACGUGUCGGUCAUCAUAAGGGCGAAAGUGCUGGUCAAAAGUGAGUUGGGGUUAGUUAAAAAAUACAGGAAAAUUCUAGGUUGUUAGAGAUAGCCUUUAUCGUAGUUUAUAAGGCUGGUUGAUGGGCCAUCUUCUCAGAUCUCAUCAAAGCAAUGGAGAGAGAGAGAGAGUUGAAAUAGAAAGUUGUAUAUUCUUGUUCUCUGUAACAAGCUCCACAUCCUGGUAACAUUGAUUUGUGAAAUAGUGAAAGCUUGACAACUUAUAUCCUUGUUCUUCACUGGAUGUAGGCACUUUGAUUCAAUUUUUAGUUCGGAUUUCUGAGAAUGAGUCUUCAUACAUCACAUCAAAGAUGGUCUAAGGUGUUUGAUCUUGGUACUGUCAGAGGAUUAAACACAACAAAAAGAAACUGGGGCAUAUUGCCUAAUCUUCAUAAUCUUCAGAUAAAUGGAGAUUAAGCCCUUGUCAAUUUGGGUUGUCCAACAACCCUUGUAAAAUCGAAAACCAGCACUAAUCCUUGGUGAUUUGGAGCAGAAGAUUUAACGAGUAAAGUUCUGAAAGUGGAAUCAUACCAAAGCCCUCUUUUGCAGCAGAGAAAUCCCUGUUUGCAUUAAAAAUGAUCCUUAUAGCCAUUGAGAUUAAUUGAUUAAAUGGAGUUGACAAAUGAAACAAAAACGGAAAAAAAAAAACUUCAAUUCUACCAAAAUCAUUCAACCGUUAUUACCCACUUUGAAUAAAAUUCAACAUCCUUUUUUCUAUUCCUUUCAGGUAAUAAGUUGCUUGUGUUGUUUUUAAUCUCAAUAAGAUAUAUAUCAUCGGCAUAUUGAAGUUUGUGAUUAUUCUAAGAAAAAAUAGGUGCUUUAUUAUUUGAAUUAUCGACAAAAUAAUUUCAUUUCAUUAUUUUGUUAGAUCCACUAUAUGUACAUGUUUGAAUCUUAUUCACAAGGUUUGAUUUCACUCUCACGUUUCAUAUGAUGACAAAUUAGAUAAAAAAAAAUGAAAGCUAGCGUUUCAGUAGCAAUUACAUUAGUAUUUAGCACAUGUUAUUUUGAGUACAAGCACAAUUUGGGUCAUUUUCCAGGACCAACUAUCUUCCAUUUAGAAAUGCAUUGACAAACAGGUUAAUUCGUAAAAUGAUGGUUUCUAGAUAGAAUCUUUCCAAGUUGCACUAACCUCCUUUCCUAAAAGAAUAACGAUCCAGAGGAAAAUGUGAGCUAUAUAGAGAGAGAUUGCUGAUAGAAUAGCUGUAUUUCUUGUUUUUUGCUUUGUACUCUGUAAAAACUCUGUGAUACAUCUUGAAGAAUCAAUAAACGCUAAUCAGAAAUUCCCUCCCAUUGAUGCAAGCUAAUGUAAAUUAGCUGAACCACGUUAAAUCGAUUUGUCCUCUGUUCUUUUAAUUCUUUGAUUCAAUUUGAUCUUAAUUGUUUUUUGUUCUUUCAUCAUCAUCUUGUUUCGAUUCCAUUUUCAAUUGAGCUUCAAAUCAGUUCAUUCUUGGUAGCAUCUUGAUUGAUUGGAUUGUGAUCUUGGACAGCAACUGAGGUAUCUCUGGUGUUAAGCACUCCAGUUGCUACACUGAUGCACUCAAUCAAUAUGCUUUGUUUAUUUACCGAAGAGAUUUGAUUACUGAUAAACUUCAUACUUGCCUGACUCUGAUCCCGUAUAGUGGGUUGAGAGGAUUACAUGGAGAUGCUGUUUAAGCUAAGGCAUAAGGCAGAGAAGCAAGCUAUGGAAGCCAAUUAGGUUGAAGACUGUCAAUAAACAAACAUAAUUCGAUUAGCAGUAGGUCGUUAAUACUUAAUAUUUAACGUGAGGAACAAGUUUUUCAGCCUCGCCUCAGAGUGAUAACUACUUCGACUUUGUCUGUUACUUGGAAACUUUGGUGCCUUCCAUGACAAUCAUUUUGUGGCAGCACAGUGAACGAUUCUGUUGCUUUUGCUUUCAAUGAACAGGGCUACCUUACCAGAUAGGGUUAGCAUUUUAUUAAUUGCAAGUGGUAGCUUAUUUAUUCAUUACUUUUGUCUUCUGUGAAUAUAAAACACUGACUAUGUAAUCAUAAUACUUUUUUAAUAAUGAUUUUGUAAUUAUUUAUUACGCUCCAAGUCAAUAUAUAUCACAUCAACCCCCAAUAUUUUCUCUGCAACUACUUUCUUAUUGUACCCAUUAUCAAAAUUCUAUAAUAAACAUCAUUUAUGUGUAGGAGAAACUAUUGACUAAACUGACAUGCUUGCACUACUGGAGUACUAAGAGAAAGAGUUGUGUAGGUCAACCUAAGAUCAAUUUCAUUCAGCAACAAUAAAUGUUUCAGUGGAUACGUGAUUUUACAUGCCAGUAAGUGGUAGACGUGAUUUUGCAUUUUUCCACAGCUUAAAUUAUUGACGAUCUUGCUCUGUUCUUUUCUUUUCAAAUAGACUUUAUGGUCCCGGUGGAAUUGCUUUGACCUUUUCUUUCUUGAAAGUGGAUGUAUAAUACAUAUUGGUCUUGAUUGAUCCUUGAUCAAGACCUAUUUAUUCUCUUCUGCUUUAUUCUUUUUACAACAUAUGGAGAACAGUGUAUUGUAAGAUUCAUGUACAGCACUGCUCUACCUCGAUCUGUUCUGAUUUGAGAGUCAACAAUCUCAAUUCAAUUUCUUGAAUGGAGUACUAGCUAAGAGAACGAGGUAGGGGAGCUUUAAAGCAUAGUUUCUUUUCAACUCUCUAUUUUUAACUAUUUCUUUGCAUGCUACAGGACUGAUUACAGGGUGGUACUGAGAGAGGAGAAGAUAUGGACAUCAACUUCAGAUUAUUUUCAGAGAGGCUGAGAAGGGUGUUCGCUGAUGAAGAAGUCAUGUUGCCUGAUGCUGCAAAACUACCUAAAAGUAGGGACAUGGUGGGUCUAGAUGAUAGAAUGGAGGAGUUGUUAGAUCUAUUGAUCGAGGGACCACCUUAGCUUUCAGUUGUGGCCAUACAUGAUAGCAUUGGGUUGGACAAGACGGCUUUCGCCGGAGAGGCUUACAACAGCAGUUAUGUGAAGCAUUAUUUUGAUUGUCACACUUAGAUUCGGGAGCCUUAUCCGUAUGAAGCUGACCAAAUAUUAGAUAUCAUUAUUAAGUUUCUGAUGCCUUCAUCUAGGUUGAGCGAAAUCAGUUAAAAGGUUUUCAAAAAGUUGUUCUGCUGUACGGCCAAGGCGGAUGUACGGUACAGCAGAAGCGGUAUUUGAUUGUGAUUGAUGAUGUGUGGAACAUUGAAGUAUGGGAUAUUAUUUGAGAAAUAAUCCCGGAUAAUCAGAAUAGAAGUAGAGUAUUAAUAACACUCACUCAAAUUAAGAUGGUCACCUCAUUUCAACUCGAAGACGGAGAGAACAUUCGGCUUGAUUUAGUGCCCACUGGAGGACCAUUGAGAGCUACAUAUAAAGGAUGGCCUUUCCUCAUCUUAUAUCAUGGAAGCAUCUCAUUUGAAGAAAAUAUAGGGGAAGCAGUGGAGACACCCUAUGUCCUUCGGUACUUCAAAUAUUGCAGGUUACUUUUUUGCUUGAAACUUUGUUUUCUCUACUUAUCUGUGUUUCCUGCACACCUAGAGAUAUCCACCAGGCAGUUAUAUCAGUUUUGGAUAGCUGAAGGUUUCAUCCCAGAGAAUAGUGAGGCAACUGCUGAGAAUUACUUAGAACAACUAAUCAAGGGAGGCUUUGUUGAAGCAAAGAAGAGAAAAGCUGCAGGCACUAUCAACACAUGCUCUAUUCCUGGUCGUUGCCAUCCUGUGUUGAUUACAGUUCCUUAUAGGGUGGAAUUUAUCUUUUCCCCUUUCAUGGAUCCAGAAGGUAAAUCACAAAAAAAUGUCAAACGGUUAAACGCUGUUGAAAGAGAGGGUGAUUUUGCUUGCUUAGAUGAUUAUGACUCGCAACUGCAGUCUUUGUUGUUCUGCUCUCCAGAAACCCGCCACUUUGACCCCAUGGAUUGGGAGAACAUUUGUGGAAUUUUCAAACUUCUCAGAGUAUUGGACUUGGUAUCUCCUGUUCUCAUCCAAUAUCCAUUCCGAAUUGAAAAUUUAUUCCUUUUGAGAUAUUUGAAGUUGAAUAUCCCUUCCCUCAACAGCCUGCCUUCAUCAUUGUUAAGCAAUUUUCUGAACCUCUACACCCUAGACAUGCCCUUUAGCUAUAUAGAUCAUACAGCAGAUGAAUUUUGGAAGAUGAACAAACUUAGGCAUCUAAAUUUUGGGUCAAUCACACUUCCUACGCAUCCAGGAAAAUAUUGCGGCUCUCUGGAAAAUCUCAAUUUCAUUUCAGCCUUGCAUUCUUGCUGCUGUACUGAAGAUAUAUUGGGCAGACUACCUAAUCUUCGAAAUCUCCGAAUACGGGGAGAUUUAAGUUAUAAUCAAUCUUUGUUGUCCAAAAGUCUCUGCAGAUUGAGCUGUCUCGAGUCGUUGAAGAUGGCGAAUGAAAGCAAGAUGCCACGGCUCUCCAAAAUCGUCCUUGCUGAAUACCUAUUUCCUCAUAGUCUAACCCACUUGAUUUUUUCUAAUACUGACCUAAUAGAUGAUCCCAUGCCGACACUAGAAAAGCUGCCGCUUAUUUAAGUGCUCAAACUAAAGCAAAACUCGUAUUCAGGUAGAAAGCUGACUUGUGGUUCUGAUGGUUUUCCAAAUCUCAAGGUAUUGCACCUGAAAUCAAUGCUAUGGCUAGAGGAGUGGACUAUGGGGAUUGGAGCCAUGCCAAAACUAGAAUGCUUGAUUAUCAACCCUUGUGCUUACUUGAAAAAGAUGCCUGAACAGCUCUGGUGCAUAAAGAGCUUAAACAAGUUCGAUUGCUGGUGGCCUCAGCCAGAGCUGAGACAAAAGCUACGGGAAUUUGAGGAUAAGGAACAGUGCGGCAUUCAACUAUAUCCUUACGGAAUUUGAUUAGCCCUUAUUGAAUUUGAUGUAUGUUUCUCGUUUUACCCAAUUUCUUCAAAUUUUAAUUAUUUAUCCAAUUUCAUAUACGUUUUUUCCCCUUGUCUUCAAUACAAAAAUGGUUAUACAAAGUGUUUUCUUUUAAUUUGUCUCAACAUUAAGUACCCUUUAGAGUUUCCGACACUCACCCCAAUCAUCAAGCCCUCUUUAGUAGCAAUGGAGACUUAAGUACUCUUCCACAUAGGGGUGUCAAAAAAACCCCCCCGGACCGGAUCCGGCCCGUACCUGGCCAAUCCGGUCCGGGCAAAACCCGAACUGCAUAUACAGAAAAAGCGGAUCCGGGUUUCAGAAUUUAAAACCCGGACAUAUCCGGGCACGGUCCGGGUUCAGCACCAAAAACUUGGAACCCGGACCUGGACCUGUUUUCCCAAUUAAAAAAAAAAAAUCUAAAACCAGUUACCCAAACCCAAAACUCCCAAAUCCAAAAAUCCCUAAUUCCCCAAAUCGCAAAACACCCAAACCCAAAGGCAUAAGCAGCGACGCUGCCACUGUCACCGUCGGCUAGCACCCACCGUCAGUCCAUCACCGUCACCCCUCGGCACUCGGCAGUCGGCAUCAUCUCUUCUCGUUUGCAUUUGCUGACUCGGUUUUGCUCAGUUGCAGCUAUGACGGGAGUCGUUCGUGCAGCGGCAGCAGCGCAGUGCAGCCCCCUCCUGCGCCGUCAGCGUCAGCGUCUGCGCCACCGUCUCCAACUCUCCAUUGCCACUUUGUCAUCCACCAUCAGUCCAUCACUCUACCAUCACAGCCACCACUACCAGCCACAGGUAUUGAUUUUUUUCCUUCCAUAUUUUGUCUUUCCAGUUGCAUUUUUGCCGAUUGCUUCUCUGUUGGUGUUGGCUGUUGCUAUUCGUGUUUAUUUUCAGCCAAUUUUGUGCAUGGUUGCUGACUUGCUGUUGCUGUGAGGCUAAGUGGUUUUGACCGUAGAAUAUGAGGAAAAUAUGGCCAAUUUUGUGAGGGAUCCUUAUUGCCUGCUCGUGUAAUACUUAAUUUUUAUGAUUUGUAUACGUCCAGCAUUUUGUUAAUUUCUCCAUUUCUUUUUUUCUCCAUCCCGGCCAAUUCCAUUUCAUCUAAAACCAAUCUACAAUGAAUAUAGACAAGUAACAUCUCACUACCUCUACACAUCUAUCAUUUUGCAUUUUACCUGCACGGGAUGAAAGCUAGCUAGAUAAGGUUCACUGGUUUGUAUAUAGUGUAAAAUUUAUUUGAGCCAUCACCAGUCAAGCAGUCAUCACUCUUCAAUUUCAAGAGUCUGAAUAAUCUGGCCCUAAAAUGCAUCAGCAAACGCACACAACAUAUGAUUAUAUGAUGAAACUAGGGGGUUUGUGUCGAGAUUUGUUGGGUUAUACUAUUGAAGUGGAUUUUUAACCACUUCCGCUUAGCAGGCCAUUCUUGACUUAAUCAUCAAUUAAUGUUUAAGUCUUAAAAGAGUUAAUAAUAUAAGUGACGUGUUACAAGAAUUAAUUACCAUUCAUAUUUUAUAUACGUAUUAAUCAAUGCUGACAGCAAAUUUUGUUAGUUAUAUCAGUCAUGAAAGCUUAGACAAAAUUAGGAAGUAAACUUAACAUAUUCAGAAUCUGGGUAUAUAUACUUAACGGUUUCUCUACAUCACUGCAUGGAGAUUGUACGGAUGAAGGAAAAAAAAAGUCAUAAGACUUCAUUAUUUCAGGGCUCAUUGAAAGACAAGUUAUAAUGUUAUAUUACAACUGGUUAUUUGUAUGAUUUUGCUUCUGUUGGCUGUGUGAGCCUCUCUGCCCAGCUUGAUUUGAUUUGGCAACAAAGCAAAACCAGACAAUAUUUUAAUUUUUAUGUUGAAUCCAAAAAUGAUAUCAUCAAAUAAUACAAAUUUGUAUGCCAUUUCCCUGUUUCAGUCAUUUUACUUGGGGGCACUUUACAAAAAUAAUGGUAAAUGAAGAACAAAAGGCAAAGUGCAUGCAUUGUAGUGCAAUUUUAAAAGCAAAAUACCAAUCUGGGACUUCAACUUUGAAUAGACACGUGGCAAUGUGUUUUAAGCAGAAUCAACCAAACAUAGAAGAAGCACUUCAAGGAAGCCUUAAAGUGAUUAAAAGAGAGGAUGGAACUUGUGGCAUUAGUUAUGGCAGUUUUGAUCAAAAUGUUUUACGGAGUUUGAUAGCAAGAAUGGUUAUAAUGCAUGAGCUUCCACUUAGAUUCGUGGAAUAUAUAGGCUUCCGAGAAAUGAUGGCACAUGCUAACCCCGUGGUUAAGCCAAUGAGCAGAAACACUUUGAAGAGCGAAAUCUUGAAGUUAUAUCAAAUCGAGAAGGUUAAGACUUUGCAUUUAUUGGGGAAAAAUCAUGGUAGAGUGGCCAUUACUACAGAUUUAUGGACAGCUAGUAAUCAGAAAAAGGGAUAUAUGGUCGUGACGGCCCAUUUCAUUGACAAUUCUUGGAAAUUACAUAGUCGAAUUUUAAGGUAAUUUGUCUAUAAUUUUUUAUUUGCUUAAUUUUUCUUUUAAGUUUAUUAUUACUUAUAUUAGAUUUUUUUCAAGUUUAAAUUGUAAUAUAUUUUAAGUUUGUGUAUUUAAUACCGACUUUUGAAUAUUUGAUAGGUUCAUCUAUGUUCCAAGUCCCCAUACUGCUGAUGCCCUAUGUAAUGAGUUAGUACAAUGCCUAUUGGAUUGGAACGUGGAUAGAAAGUUAUCCUCAGUGACAUUGGAUAAUUGUACCACUAAUGACGCAAUGGUGGAGAAAUUGCUGUUAAGGUUUGAUACCGAUACCUUAAUUUCUAGUGGUAAAUUUUUUCAUAUGAGAUGUACUGCUCAUAUAUUGAACUUGGUUGUGCGGGAUGGGUUGAAAGUUAUAAAAAGUGGGAUUGGAAAGAUUAGAGAGAGUGUGAGUCAUUUUGUGCUUGACCCAAGAUAUAAGAUGAUGUUAAUUCAUUUUUAUUUUCCAAAGAUAUAUGGGGAUACAGCAGAUGAGCUUAUUGAGUGUGCACAUAAGCUUUGUUAUGAUUUAGUGAAAGAAUAUGAAUCGAAGGCAGCGCAUGUGAGUGGUGGGCAGAAUGUUGGAUUGGAAAUUUCUCGUUCUGAAUCUUGUUUGAAUUCGAAUAAGUAUUGGGAUGUAGAUGAGUUUGAAACAUUUCGAAGCCAAAAUAAACGUGCUAAGGUAACUAAGUCGGAGUUGGAUAGGUAUUUAGAUGAGGAAUUGUUGGAUUCCAUUCCGGACUUUGAUAUUUUAGCUUUUUGGAAGAUGCACACAAGCCAAUAUCCUAUUUUGGCUGAGUUAGCUAAGGAUAUCUUAGCCAUUCCUGUAUCCACCGUUCCCUCUGAGUCAGCUUUUAGUGCCGGGGGCAGAUUUUUGAGUUUGCAUCGUAGUAAACUUCUUCCUGACACUUUAGAAGCCUUAAUGUGUGCUCAAAAUUGGAUUUGGGCUUCUACUUUUCGAGGUAUAAAGUUAUUUGAAUUAUAAUGUGUUAGUAUUUAUUUGCUUAAAAUGCUUUGAAUUUUAAUGUGUUAUUUUUGUUGUAAGGUGGAGUUCCGGAGGAUGAGAUUUUUACUGGGGAGGAGGUAAUUUCGGAUGAUGAUGAUAAGCCACAAGUGUCGACAAGUAGACAUGAACGUUUAUUUAUUUAUUUGGAAUUAGACAUGAACUUGUUAUUUAUUUAUUUUACAUGGGAGUGUUUUGACUCUUUUAUGAACUAUUUUUUGAGUUGUUGAACAUUUUAGGAUUUUCAUGUGUUGUAUUGAUAAUUGGUGUCAUAAUUAUGAACUUAUGAUAUGUUGGAUGUUAUUUAGAUUUAUUGUGUUAUUGAAUUUAAUUUUUUUUUUAUAUAGAUUGAAUGAGUUUAGGUUAGAAGUUAGAUGAAUUUUUAUUUAUUAUUUGUGCAAAAUUUGUAUUGUUAGUAUGUUAUAAGUUUGUAUUUAACUAUUUUUCUAAUUUUUCUUUGACUUAAGUUUGAGAUUUAUCUUGUAUUAUGAUACACAAGAAAUGUGCAUGCAUGUUGUAUUGUUGUUUCACUUGUUUGGUGAUAUUUAUUUUGGCUGCAGCUGCAUUAGCUUAUCAAGUGAAUUAUAAAGUUGUUUCCGAGUCAAUAACAAGUUGUUGUGCCGACUGCAGAGUGCAGAUGUACAUGUACACACAUUAACGGAGGACUAAGCUUAUGUUUAAUUAAUUAAGUUGCUUGGUGCAUGCCACUUACCAUCUGCCGCUUUGACAAUUAUUGGAUAACUUCUACCAAUCUGUUACAUCUUAAUCAAAUUUAUUUUCAAUUUAGGAUAGUUGUAUGACUCUGCUGAUUAAAAGGGAGCCAUUGUUUAUUUUCAAUCUGUUACAUCUUAAUAAAAAUGAAAGAAUUUUUUUUUUUGAAAGAUUUGUUUGCGGGCUUAGAAGCCCGGAAGACAAAACCCAAACCCGGACCCGGGACACGCCGGGCUCAAGCCCGGACCGGACAUGCAAAAACCGGGUUUUGUCCGGGUCCGGGUUUCAAUUUUUGGCAUCCGGUCCGGUCCCGGGUUGCACCAAACCCGGACCGGACCCGGGGUUUUGCCAAGCCUACUUCCACAUUCAACCAUGAGCCUAGCAGCCAUCGGCGUUCAUUUGUUUUAAUAGUUAAGGAAAAAAAUGUAAUUUAAAAUUCUUAUUUUUCACAAUUUCUUCAAUGACUUGUGAAGGUGAAAUCAGAGAAGAAAACAUCAUAACUGCAGCCCGAACUUCAAUUUCAACCGGAAUCCUUUCCGUCUUCACUUCUACUGUCUACACAAAUAAAUCCUGAUCCUACGGUGGUGGACAUUUUUUUUGGUUUCUUUGUUUCCGCUGUCUAUUCAUAAAUAAGAAGUUUCGUUUCGGAUUUUUCAGUUGAGAGUUCAUUGAUUUGUGCUUCAGCCUCGGUUCGUUAAUUGUGUACAAAAAAUAAAUAAUAUUUGUGAUGCUUUCUGCUGUUGGGUUCAGUUGAAUGUAUUUUCUGUCUUUGUUCUGUUGCUUGCUCUGAAAUCCUGUUUCAGAGGCUGGGCAAGUCUGGCACUCAAUAUGUUUCGUUUAUUUCUAGAAAAGAUUGAUUAUUCAUGAACUUCACACUUGGCUGAAUAUCUUAGUAAACGUUCUUGUGGAGAAAUCCUAAUACCCACUUAGGCACUACAAUAAGGCAGAAAUACUAAUACUGCUUUACAUGUGUUGAUUGAUUAAUAGCUUUGUUCUCUGCUGCUCUUUCUUUAUCUGAUGCAGAAAAUUCCUUCAAGAAUCAAUAUGAUUGCUAGUUGGUACUAACUAUAGAAGUACUCCUCCUUUGGCCCAUUCCAUGGAAUAUGGAAGACAUAUUUCUGAGACUGAGCCACGCUUCAUUACCUUCCCAGAGAAAAUUGAAGUUUGGGCUGUGUACAUGGGACUGGAAUGAAGAGCGGCAGCAAAAUGAUUAAAAUAAUUGCCAUUUAGAGGGGCAUUUUUGUGACUACUGAUGUGUCCCUCUAAUGGUUCAAUAAAUUGAAACCACGUCUAAUGAAAGGCUAGAAAAAGGCCGUGUUAUAGAAAGCAGCGACUCUCAAUAAUAGAAUUUUGCGUGCAAGUGUGUGCAUUCGAGAACGCAAGUAUAAGUUUUUGUAUAGCUAUAGCCUACGGUAUAUGCGCGAGCAUCUAAUAUAUACUUUGCAGUGAGCAUUAGCACGACAUCAAAUAUUUUUAGUAGAGCAUGCAUGAGAAAAAAUAAAUAAAUGUAGAAAUUGAAUUUGGUUUGUUAGCAUUCCAUUACUUGGCCAAUUUUCAUUACUUGGCCAAUUUCCUUAACAUUGAAUGAUUGAAUAAAUUUUUAAUUUUUCGUUUUUAAGAGGUUAUUAGAUUUGUUUGGAGGUAAAUUUUGAAGGACAUUUAUGGACUAGUUGAAAGCUGACAUGUGGUAUAAGAAUAAUAAAUAAGAAGUUGAACGCUAAAAAAAAAAAUGACAACUCGACUGUCCUACACAAGCCAAUCAAGGAAAAAAAUAAAGUUUGGUAAAUUUAGCGUCAUGUGAAGAGCAAGCUCAUUUGAUAUUUGAGUAAAGAGGUGCCAUGCAGUAGAAAAGAUUAAACUACCCUAUGGUACCCAACCUAAAUAUAUUCACUUAAAAGGGACAAGAGAAGGACUCCAUUUUUCUUUUUCUUUCUCUUCAACUCUCUUGAGCUCGAGUCACAACUUGUAAUUGAUUCAAUUCAAAUCAGAAAAUUCAAUGAAAAAAACAACCAACCAUAAGUUAAAGUAUUGGAUAUGCCUUUCCAGAAAAAAAAGGCUUUGAACAUCCAGUAACAUUUCACCUUCUUCUUUCGCCAGAAAAUCAGCUCUAUGAGUUGGUUUUCCGGCGAAACCUUAUUUUUUCAUUCCUUUUUUAUUUUCUUUACUUAUUUUCUCCACUCAGAUCCUCAUAUCUGUGGUGGUUUUGUUCUUUUACUCAGAUUUUCAAAUCUGUGGUGGUAUGUCCUUCCACUCAGAUCUAGAGAUCUAUGGUGGUUUAUUAUUAUUUGUCUACCCAGAUUUAAAAAUCUGGGGUUGUUCAUUUUAUUUUGCUUGGUUUUGUAUUUUAUGAAGCAAAAUUUUGAGAAGAAAAGUUUCUACUUUGUGGAAAGUAUUGCAACGGCAGAUCUGAUGGAUGCCUUUAAGAGACUUAAGAAAUUUGGGCAAAGUUUUUGUAAAGAAGAAAUUAUCUAUGAUGCAUCAAAAGUGGAGUCCCCUCCCUGCUCAUGUUGUAAAGGCUCAGCUUUUCAAAGAGUAAGAAAGACAAAGCCUUCUCAUAUUGCCCACCCCAGAGGAGAGAAACAACAGAAGUGGUUCCCUCCCCCUGAAAAUAUUUUCAAAAUUAAUGUGGAUGUUGCCAUCAAUACUAAGAAUCAGAUUGCAGGCGUGGGAGCAGUGAUUAUAGAUUCUAAUGGCAAGAUAAUUGCAGUCGGUAUUAAUCAGAUUCAUCUUAAGGGACCAAUCAGUUUGGCUGAGGCAGAGACUAUGCAAUGGGGGCUUCAAUUGGCAAAAGAAGCAUAUUUAACCUCCUUGAUCAUUAAGUCAGAUUGCUUAGAGGUGGUUCAACUUGUAAACAACACCAAGGGCAGCAUAACAGAAAUUUUUUGGACAAUUCUGGAGAUCCGAAAUCAGUUAAAAGGUUUUCAAAAAGUUGUUGUUCAUCACAUUCCAAGACAAUGUAAUGCUUAUGCCCACUCCCUAACUAAGUUAGCUUUGGGAAGAAAUUCUUCUUCUAUGUGGUUAGGAAUUAUUCCAGCCGAGAUUCAAGUUGUAUUUGAGGUGUUGUGAUUUAUGAAAUGUUUACUUUCUUUUCAAAAAAAAAAAAAAAGUGUUGGAUAUGCCUAUUUAUCCUCUAAUAAUUACUUUAAAUACUUUAUUGUUCUACAAACUCAUCUAUUAAAUUAAAAAAAAUAAGUUAUACUUAGUACGGUCUUUAAAAUACUAAAAAUUCUGAAGCACGUUAAAUUAAUUACAUUUAUUUACUCAAAACAAUACUCAAAGAAAAUUCUUUAAAAAAAUUAAGCAUAUAAUACUGAAGUUUUUAUUGACAAAUUGACAAAUCCUAAUAUAAUUUAUUUCUAUCCCCUACCUAAUCCAAAUUUAAACUUGGAGUGAUUAAGAGAAUAAUAAUAAUAAUAAAUUGUUUAGAAAACCACUAACCACAUCCUAUAUCAUCAUAUCAUAUCAUAUGCAUUUUGUUACAAAUUAGGAUCCAGCUACGGUACCACCGUGGUACGGUACCACUGGUUUUGUCUUUUGUGCCAGCUGUGUUGUAAAAUUUCAUUGAACCCCUUUCAUUUAUUUUUAUUUAAACUUUACCUCAUAAAUAUUAAAUUAAUUUCUAUUGCAUCCAUAUAAACAUUAUAAUUAGCACCUUAUACUAUUUGUUAUUUAUACAUUUUUCUUCUAUAUUACACCUUGAUCACAAUACUCCUCUCUUCAUCUCCAUGCCAUCCUUGUCGCCGUAAAGCAUUCGGAAAGCUGCCGAUCGAAACCGUGAAAAGUCACAGAAUCCCCGCUUCAAUUUGCCGCAGUUUCUCCGGUUUCCGGUGACGCCACCACUUGAGUUUUGUUCUCCAUAAUUCCUUCUGUCUUUUUUGGCCAACCACAGCCACCGGAGGAGCCGAUUUGCCGUUGACCGGCCGUCGAAGGAUUCACGGAUUUGGGAGAAAUGAACUUAAUAUUUGUGAAGUAAAAUUCAAAUAAAAAUAAGUGAAAGGAUUUCAUGAAAUUUUACACAAAAAAGGCAAAAGCGGUGGCAUGGUGCACUGUUGCACGAUAGGUGAGUCCUACAAAUUAGUUAUUAAUAUUUUGAUAAUUUAGUGACCCUCAUUCAACCGAAAUUGGGUAACUUUUUGUAAUGGGGAAGGUAUUCGCAUCCAACACGUUAUCUCUAAACGUACCCGACCCAGCAGCAUUCGAGUCAUGGCUACGCAAGUCCGGCUACCUCGAAAUCCUCGACACCGCCACCACGAACAUCCUUCUUAUCAGAACGUUCUCAAACCUGAGCCCUUGCGAAACUGUUCCUGCUGAACAAAAUUCUCCACAAGCUACAAUGGAUGCUGCAGUUCCCUCAGUUCCUGACCUAUGCUCUUUUCUCAAUGCUUUUCUUGCUGCCUAGGUUUGUUGGAGGAAUUGCUUCUUCGGGAUCUCCAUUUCAAGGAAUUAUUCCUACUCCAGGGCUGUCUUCUCGUUUUUGGUCAUUUUCAAUUUCCAGGGGUCUCCAUUUUUGCAAACCCUACAAGGUAUUUGUUAUAUGGAUUGUAGAACCAGAGUCAAUCCACCAUGUGUUAUGAUUAACAUCAACCAUAUUAGAUUCAUAACAAACAAAAGAGAUUGAUUUAUCUUUCUUUUCAAUCCAUUUUUGAAAUUUGGGGCAAUCCUUCUUCACGUGUCCUUUCUUUUUACAAAAAAAACACUUAGAUUGUUUUUUAAUUUCUUCCUGGGAGGUAUUUUACCUUUCCCUUUCCUUUUGGCUUGAAACUUGUUCUUUCCUUGUGUUACAGUAUAUGCACCUUCACCAACUUCCAUUAUCAGUCUCCCUUCCUCUUGAACACACAUGGUUAUCAGUUCAUUAAUUGAUCAUUUAUCCUUAUGCGUGCUAUAGGAAAUUUUGAAAGGUCCAUAUUGUUGUGGAAGUGUAUUCACUAUGUAAUGCACAAGAAAGGUUUCAGACAUACAUAUCAACCUCAAGAAGUUUCAACUGAGCCGCAAUGUCCCUCAUCUGCACGAUGUGCUCACGCACACCUCUAAUACUGGUGAGCUUCAUAGAUGAAAACUUCAUUAUUAGGGUGCUUGCAAGUGUCUUAUCUGAAGUUACAAAUUGCUCAUCAAUUGCCUUCAGUAAUGCCCGGACAUCAUUAUGCUGAUCAACUGAACCACGAAUAGCAGCAGAGAUUUUGGUCUUUAUGAACAUCACACUGAGGCGAUUAGAUCGCUCCCAUUUUUCAUAAAGAGCAAUAUCGACUUCAGUGAUGUUAUCAUUAAUAAGUGGUUCGUCUUUCCGAAUAGCAUAAUCAAUAUCCAUCCAUCCUAAAUGAAGAAGAAUUCCCUCUUUCCAAACUUUAUAAUUAUCACCAUUUAACUCGGGAAUAUCACACUUGAUUUCAGAAAAACUCGAAGGUUGUACCUGCUGUACGGCCAAGGCGGAUGUACGGUACAGCAGGACCUUAAGAAAUGUAAAGAGAAAGGGUUUAUAUGACUAAGAUUGUGGCAAAACAGUUUUAAGUUCCAUUAAUCAGUGGAAGAAAAAAAUGUCAUACUUUUGGGAGAAUAUGGAGUCUAUGACCAAUCGACACAGGGUUCAAGCAUGGACUUCAGGAGUUUCUAGCUAGAAUAAGCAUUGUGAUUUGAUUUCUUUCCGCUCAAAGGGUCCUAACCAUAAAACGAGCAAGAAAAUUAGCAUGAAAUAGUACUGUGCUAGAGCAACUGAUUUAUGAUACAUUUCUCGUUACCCCUAAAUAUGAAUGUGUGCACUUCUGCUUCUAUACUUAUGUUCUUGCCUUCUCUGGAUGAGUUUUGCUUUAAACUUUCCUUGGCAGGUCUUUCCAUUAUACUACUGUCUAGCUGUUGAUAAAUAGUGGAAUUCUUUCAUCGACUUCACAGUAGUAAUUACAUCUCAUCUAUGCAGCUACAUUGGUUGUUCUUAUGCUUCUGAAUGUUCAGAUGGCUCUAUUCUGUGCACUUGCUAUCAGUUAUGUUGGUAAAUAUUAGAAACUCUUCUUCAUCUUUUAUGAACGUUGCCUUUGCUUAGAGUGAGCUAACAAUUAGUCUACUGCAUUGUAGUCAUGAUUUUGCAUGCUGCAUUUCGUAAGCUCUCUGCUUCAAAGCAACCUUCUCGGAUCAGAUGAAAUCCGAUUUUCCAAACAAAGGUUCCUCAUUGAAGAAAUUUAAAGAUUCGGAAGCAAUUAGCUCAUAAGACUUCUACAGAAGCAAUGAAGAGCAGGGUACCCUAUAAAAGAUGAGAAAUUACUGCAACAAAACCUCGAAAGGGAGUGAGAUGAUCAUACUGGUGGUGUACUCCACUCGGGCACAAUCCAUAGUCAUUUUGUCACCUCAACGGGAGGACAUGACUCCUGCAACAUGUAAGAAAAGAGAAUAAAAUUGUCAUAACAAUAAUUCCAAUUAUACCAUUGUGAUAGAGAGAAAAACGAGAGCAUGCAUAUGGAAAAAAAUUUAAUUUUUAAAUUUCUAAGUUGUCAAAUCGAGGUUUGAUUUCUGAAUUUUUUACUUGUCAAGUGGAUUAAAUUCCCCCCGUAUAUAAUGUCUAGAGAAACUCAUGAAUCUAAACAAACCAAACCCAUAUUAAAUUUAAUAAUAUCAUUAUCCACAGACUCUCAGUUUUGCACUUUUGCUUACAUAAACAUUAUGGAACUUAAACUUAAAUUCACAUUUUUCAUCACUCUCUUGGUGGCCUCAUGUUUGUUCCUUAAUCUUAUUUUCCUCAUCUUUUUAAUGCAUGCAUAAUUAACUAUAAUAUGACAACUAAUUGGCUGGCAUUUAUAUAUGCAGGCGUGUUAUUAGCUUUAGGCUAAUUAAUUGUUUGGCAUUUAUAUAUGCAGGUGUGUUGUUUGAUAUUUCCAUGCCGGCAGUUGAUGCUCAACCGGAAUCAAAAGCAGUCACUUGUAAAAGCAAUGCCGACUGUGACAAUCCCUGUCAGUCGUUUCGAAUGCGAUCUUGAUACCCAUCUCUGCGUUUGUGUUCGUGGCCGCAAUUCGACGGGUUGUUGAAGAGAUUAAAGCUUGUAUUGCAAGUUCUAGUGAUAUUUUGGAUGCUGAAUUGCAAAAUUUGUAACGUUACAAUCUUUGUUCCGUUUCUUACAUCAUAUGUCAAAUAAAAGUAUCAACUAAGAUUGCUGCCUCUCUUCUGAUAUGCAUACUAAAAUUGUGUACAAAAAUUUACAAAUCAUCUCCAUUUGAUUGGUCCUAUUAUACAAUGUUGUACCAUACAUUUGGAGAAGUUUUUAAGGCUUGGAAUUAUACAAUUUUUAAAAUUUUCAGUAUUUUUUUGGCUUUCGAGCUGGGUUUGGACUUUUUAGCCGGAGCCCAAGACCAGCCAGAAUACUUAGAAAACAUGCUCUAGCUAGACUUGAUUUUUCUGCCAUUCCUACUUAGAUUCCAUUAUCAUUGAUUUCAUUGAUGGAUUGUUAUAUUUUUCACACUAAGGGCUCAAAUGAAAAUAAUUAUAAAUAGUGUCUUAUGAUGUAAUCCUUUUAAAAAGGUGAGAGUUCAUAUAUAUACUGAUAUUUGAAUAAAAAAAUGAUAGAGUAGUGAGAAAACAACUAUAAAUUUUAUUUAUAAUGUUAAAUAAAAAAUUAUAACUAUUUUUCAAUUAACAUUGUAACAUUGCACAAUUUAUUAUUAUUUUUGUCACCCGUUGUUAGAACUCUUUAUCAUUUUUCAUUUCUUAAAAAAGAAUGCUAAAAGGAAAAUUGAACAUAUAUUAACUAUAAAAUUUUACAAACGAUUUAGUACUUUCUCUAAAUCAUUGAAGAAAUAAGACAACAUCACACAUGAUUAAGAAUGCAUAUUUAUUUGAGUAAUUUUACAUUUAUAACCCUGGGAUACAAAUUUUAUUUGUGAUAUAGAUACAUGCAAGUCCCGCAAUAAAUUUAACAAUUAACACCAGACAUGAUUUUGCAUUCUUCCACAGCUUAAUUAUUAAAUAAUUGAUAACGCUCUUGUGCUUGCUCCGUUCUUUUCUUUUCAGACAAGCUUUUAUAGUCCCAGUGGAAUUGUUUUCACCCUUCCUUUCUUAAAAGUGGAUGUAUAAAACAAAUUGGUCUUGAUCGAUACUUGACGAUGUCCUGUUUAUUUUUCUCUGCUUUAUUCUUUUUUCACCAUAUGGGAGACGAGAUUAUUGUGAGAUUCUGCCUUGAUCUGUUCUAAUCUGAGAGUCAACGAUCUUGAUUCAACUUCUUGACUGGAGAACUAGCUAAGAGAAGGGAGGUACGGGAGCCAGCACUAAUGUUUGAAUUGUGAGCUUUAAAGCAUAUUUUCUUUUUCCCCUCUCUCUUUUAAUUAUUUCUUUGCAUGCUACAGGACUGAUUUCAGGGUGAAUCUGAGAGAGGAGGAGAUAUGGACAUCAGCUUCAGACUAUUUUCAGAGAGGCUGAGAAGGGUGUUAGCUGGUGAAGAAGUCAUGUUGUCUGAUACUGCGAAACAACCUAUUCACAACCUUAAUGCGGAGGUUGAAAUCGUUACUUCUUGGCUGAGGGAAUUUGAAGAUGAUAUCUCCUGCCUUCUGUUCCAUAAAAUAGCAGAGGAGGAAAUUGAUGACCCAGAUUUUGGGACCAUUAUGGAUGAAAUCAAUUGCUUUACGUAUGAAUCUGGGAAGGUUAUUGACACACUCAUAAACAGCAUCACUCAACAGAAGAGUCAAAGCAGAUACAACAAGGACAUUUGUGAUGCUCUGCAAGGACUCCAAAGCAGAAUCACUGAGAUUAAGCAACGGGUUCAACAACUUAAGCACACCGAUCCCAAAAUCAUGGACAACUUCAGAAGUGUUGAAGCUGAAUCAGGUUAUUUUCCUGCAUCUUCAUCUUCUAAGAAUAGGAACACGGUGGGCCUAGAUGAUAGAAUGGAGGAGUUGUUAGAUCUAUUGAUCGAGGGACCUACUCAGCUUUCGGUGGUGGCCAUACUCGAUAGCAUUGGGUUGGACAAGACGGCUUUCACUGCGGAGGCUUACAACAGCAGUUAUGUGAAGCAUUACUUUGAUUAUCUCGCUUGGAUUCCAGCGCCUUAUCAAUAUGACCCUGACCAAAUAUUAGAUACCGUUACUGUGAUUCUAUUGCCUUUUUCUAUGUUGAGUAAAAUAAAGGAUAAAGAUUAUGAAAUGAAAAAAAAUUAUUCUUGGUGAAUAUCUAAUGACUAAGCGGUAUUUGAUUGUGCUUGAUGAUGUGUGGGGCACAGAGCUAUUGGAUGUUAUUCGAGAAAUACUUCCGGAUAAUCAGAAUGGAAGUAGAGUGCUAAUCACACUCACUCUAAUUGAGAUGGUCACCUCAUUUCAGUUCGAAAAUGGAGAGAACGUUCGCCUUGAUAUAGUGCCCACUGGAGGACCAUUGAGAGUUACCUACCAAGGAUGGCCUUUCCUCAUCUUAUAUCAUGGAAGCAUCUCAUUAGAACAAAAUAUAGAGGAAGCAAUCGAGGGACCCAUGGGGCGUCUAACCGUCAUAUCUUGCAAGCUACCUUUUCACUUGAAACCUUGUUUUCUCUACUUAUCUGUGUUUCCCGCACACCUAGAGAUAUCCACCAGGCAGUUAUAUCAGUUGUGGAUAGCUGAGGGUUUCAUUCCAGACAACAGUGAGGCAACUGCUGAGAAGUACUUAGAGCAACUAAUCAAUAGAGGCUUUGUUGAUGCAAGGAAGAGAAGAGCUUGAGGCACUAUCAACACAUGCUCUGUUCGUGGUCGUUGCCGUCCUGUGUUGUUAACAGUGGCUUUCAAGGCGGAAUUUAUCUUUCUCUCGUUCAUGGAUUCAAAAGGUAAAUCACAAAAGAAUGUUAAACGGAUCAACGUUUUUGAAAAACAGAGUGAUUUUGUUCACUUAGAUGAUUAUGACUCGCACAUGUAUUCUUUAUUGUACUUCACUUCGAAAAGCGACCACCUUGACCCAAUAGAUUGGGAGAAAAUUUGUGUAAUGUUGAAAUUUCUCAGAGUAUUGGACUUGGGAUCUCUUGUUCUCAUCCAAUAUCCAUCCGGAAUUGAAAAUUUAUUUCUUUUGAGAUAUUUAAAGUUGAAUAGCCCUUACCUCAAAAUCCUGCCUUCAUCAUUAUUAAGCAAUCUUCUGAACCUUUACAGCCUAGUCAUGCCCUUUAGCUAUAUAGAUCAUAUAGCAGAUGAAUUUUGGAAGAUGAACAAACUCAGGCAUCUAAAUUUUGGGUCAAUCACACUUCCUGCGCAUCCAGGAAAAUAUUGCGGCUCUCUGGAAAAUCUCAAU
rnacentral:lncRNA from 1 species